rnacentral:lncRNA from 1 species
GUUGCAUAUAUUCCUGUUGCAUAUAGCAUGGCAUCAUUGCAGUUGUGAGGCAAAGCAAGGUAAAGUUAGUUGCAUGUUUAUGAUAUAUAUAUCUAUCUGUUUAUUGGACUAACUUGUAUUUGCCUCCCUUGGACCUGUUGGUCGAGCUCCUCCCUUGGGUGGCCGUACCCACUGGGAACCAUGGAGUUGGUUCUCACCCCACGUUGUUUUGGGGUUUUACAGGUUCGCACGUGAGCGGCGCGGCGGCGCGAGGCAAGGGCGUAGCUCCAUAGAUAGCGCCCUACCCCCAGAGACCAGAGCUAGCAGUACCCCGUCGGCGUAGCUUAGGGGUAUAGAAAAUGAAAGGAAUAAAAUGUAUUAAACUUGUAAUAGCUUAGAUUGUAUUUGGAAGUUAAAUGUAGUAUAAAGUGUGAUAUAAGUAAAUGAAUCUAAUGUGAAUGUUGUAAUAACAUAGGAUAUGUUAUGUUGUUUGAUACUUCCUUACGCAAUCAUGAUUGAUAUCUGUUCCUGGUUGGGACCAUUGUAAUGUACAUUGUUUGGAUUGCGACGCCUAGAACGUACAGGGGAGACUCUGUCCGCGUACAGGGGAAACCCCGGUCCGUUCGGCGGUCUGUCGGCGUGCCCGAACCGGACCAAAUUGGGAGCGGUCUCGGGGCGUGACACUCAUCACCUGUACAUUUUCAAUCAUGAAGUGCACUAGCGAAAAUAUAUUCAAACGGCUUACACGAGUGUAAGCAAUAGCCAUUAGUGAGAGAAAGGAAACUAACAUUCAAUUUGUACUAUGAUUCAAUUUAGAUCAUAUACAUUGCUUACAUAGUUCUUUACAUACUUUUCAUCAUUUCUUUUUACAUCACAUUGCCUCAAAAUAAAACUUUACAUUCUUUUUCUUUACUUUAAACAUCUUCGAGUACAAAAGAUGAAGUAAGGGAACGCUACUACAAAAUGUAAACCCAACUCUGGUGGCCUCUGACUAAGGUGCGAUAACUUUACCGCGGUCGCUCGCCAGCUCACUCGGUCCCGGCUUUGUGGAAUAGUGGGGUGAGAACUACAACAAAGUUCCCAGUGGGUUCGGCCCCAAUCUCACCGACUUUUCCACUAGGACUAACUCAGGCAUAAUAGAAAGGAUAAGCAGAAAUAUAGUAACCAAUCUGUAACUUGAUGCUAAUAUGCCUGAACAAUAAAGUAAGGAGUAUGCUCAACAUAAAACUCAUGUAGAUUAUGCAAGUUCUUUUGUUCUUUCUCUUUACUCUUUAAGCUUUGUUCUUUGUUCUUGUUCUUUAAUCUCAUGGCUAACCCGGGGGUUUCGCCACAUUAACUUGCCCACAUUAAGUACAUCAACACGGGCCCUCAGCUGCCUCUCGCUAAGACCGUCUUCGGGUUUACUCCAACCCGUGAUGCAAAAACUCCGGAGCGCAUCGCCCGAGGGGGAGCGACCGCCCUCGAGCAUGGAACUCAUAGCAAGUAUGAUUGAAUCCUUAACUCUAUGGAUUUUAAAUUUAAUCAUGUCAUUACACUAACUCUAGUGUUCUUUUCAUCACUUUAUGUUGCUAACUCUAGCAAUCAUUGUUCUUUGCUCUUUACUUGUUCUUUAUGCCAAACUUUGCAUUAACUUUAACCAUUAUCAUUGUUCUUUACAUUACUUUACAUUAACUUUAAUCAUUAUCAUCACUCUUUACAUCACAUUGAUCCUUUGCCUCACACUAACUCUAGUGUCACUUUACUUUACAUUAUCGAAUGCCACUCGAUCUAUGUCUCAUUGUGUCACUCUAUUCUUUUGCCUCACUUUGAUGCUCACAUUAUAUCUCAUGCAUACAUGUAGGGUUAAACAUUCAUAGGAGUUCUCGACCAUCUCAUUAGGCAAAUUGUACUCACAAUAUGCAAUAUCACAUCAUUCUCAUUACAUAUACCCUAUGAUGCAUGCAACAAUGUAUACAACAUAUGCUCAAUUGAAUGACCCAUUAGGCAUAGAAGGAAGUUCAAUGAGUUUGGAUAGCACCACCUACCUCGUAGGUUCUCAAAGGUGCUCUGACGAUUUUCUUGGAAUUUUUAGACUCCUCGUUCUUCACCUGCGACAAAACGAAGCCAACUUAGGCCAUUUUGCCCAUAACUUUUUAUAGACUUUUCGUAACGUUAAUCCGAGCGCACCAACGCGUCGGAAAUACUCCGAAUUAGGUUUCUAGAGGGUCAAUUUCACUUUGAAACCCUCGCAAGCAAAAGCCCCAAUUUGUGUGCCCUAGCUCAUAACAUAUAUCAAACCUAGGGUUUGAUCUCAUUGGGAAGCAAAAGAAGCUUCAAUCUACUCUAGGAAGUCCAUUAAAACCAUUCUUUGUUUAACCCAAACCCUAGUUUGGAUCCUACCAUGAGAGGGGUAAAAGCUCACUUUCAAGCUCCACCUCUACACUCAAUCCAUGGUUUCAAUCUCAAAAGAAGCAAAAGAAAGCUUCAAAGGCUCAAAAGGUUUUAUCAAAACCCAAUUCUAAGCUUAUCCAAACCCUAGUUUGGGAUUUACCAUGAAAAUGGCAAAGCUUACCUCUAAGCUUGCUCCUUUCUUGCACUAGAGGGGAAGAAGAAGAAGUCACCCCACUCCAAUGGCUUCUUCUCCACCUUCCUUGCCUUUCUUUUUCCUUUCCUUCUCCUUCUUCUUCUCUUUCUUUCCUUUCCUUUCUUCUCUUCUUUAUCUUCUAGAGAGAGAAAGAGAGAUGAGAGAGUGUGAGAGGGAGUGAAAUGAGAGAAGUAUCUCAUUUUCCCCCAUACUAUACCCUAUGGGUUGCAAAAUUGUAGUUAAACCCCUCAACUUUCAUCUUGUUACACUGCCCGAACUGGGCAUUUUUCGUGCUCGGGGACGGGUCUCCCCGACUUGGGACCGGUCCCAGAGAGCUCUCCCCGCGGGCAGCCAAGGCUACGCGUGACGCAACCGGUUUCUCCCCCAGAGGGACCGGUCUCUCGGAGACCGGUCUCUCCCUGCAGGGACCGGUUCCGAAGAGCUGGUUUUCUGGAACUUAGCCGAUUUUUCGGCUUUCUCACGUUGCACAUGUUCGGGGACCGGUCUCUCCCACCAGGGACCGGUCCCCGAGAGCUCAAAAACUGCAGUUUGCAGAUUUUUGAUUCUUUAGCUCUCGAAAACCUCCCACAACGAACUUUUGACCAUUUUAACACCUUCGGACUUUCCGAAGUGUACCAUCCUCACACUUUGGUCAAUUUGACUAAUGUUUGAUAUUUAUUUUUUGAAUUUUCGGUAUAUUACAUUCUCCACCCCUUAAAAUAAUUUCGUCCGCGAAAUUACGCAUACCUUAACUCGUCGAUUCAAAUAAAUAGGGAUACUCUCUCCGCAUGGCCUCCUCAAGCUCCCAAGUGGCUUCUCGCACAGCAUGGUUGCUCCAUUGGACCUUCACAUAAGGAAUUCUGCGACUCCGUAGCUUUCUUUCUUCUCUAUCGAGGAUGCACACCGGGUACUCCUCAUAAGACAUAUCUUCACAUAGCUCUACGGGCUCAUACUCCAAUACAUGUGUCGAAUUGCGAAUGUACUUUCGGAGAUUUGACACAUGAAACACGUUGUGAACUCCUGUGAGUCUUGGUGGUAGUGCGAGCUUAUACGCUACCGCACCCACACGCUCUAGUAUCUCAAAUGGCCGAACAUAACGGAGACUUAACUUCCCACGGACCCCAAAACGUUUAACUCCUCGCAUCGGUGAUACUCUCAAAAAUACGCGGUCUCCAACCACGAACUCUAAAUCCUUUCUUCGCUUGUCGGCAUAACUCUUUUGCCGAGAUUGCGCUGUCGCUAACCGUUGACGCGCAAGACGAACCUUUUCUUCCGCCUCCCGUACCACAUCUGGGCCAAGAGCCGUUCUCUCGCCCACGUCGCUCCAAUGGAUAGGAGAACGAUACUUUCGACCAUAUAGUGCCUCAAAUGGCGCCAUUGCUAUGCUCUCUUGAUAACUAUUAUUAUAGGCGAACUCCGCCAUUAGCAAGAAAUCAUGCCAUCCUCCUUUGUAAUCUAGUACACACGCUCGAAGCAAGUCGUCGAGGAUCUGUAUUGUCCGCUCUGACUGUCCAUCACUCUGAGGAUGAAAUGCUGUGCUAAAGUCGAGCCGUGUGCCCAACGCAUCUUGCAAGCUCUUCCAAAAGUGGGAUGUGAACCUGGGAUCUCGAUCCGAUACAAUUGAUACCGAAACCCCAUGAAGUCUCACAAUCUCGUCGAGAUAAACUUGAGCUAACUUGUCUCCCGACCACGUAGUAUGUAUCGGCAAGAAGUGUGCCGAUUUUGUCAAUCGAUCCACUAUCACUCAUAUCGCAUCGUGUCCGCCUUAUGACCGAGGCAAACCGGUAAUAAAGUCCAUCGCUAUAUCUUCCUAUUUCCACACUGGUAUAGAUAGACUUUGUAGCUUUCUCGCCAGAAACCGACGCUCUGCUUUUACCUGGUGGCACGUUAGACAUUGCGCCACGAACUCUCCAAUAUCUCUCUUCAUACCCGGCCACCAAUAGUGCUCUUUCAAAUCCUUGUACAUUUUAGUGCCGUCGGGGUGUAUGCUAUGAGGAGAUUGGUCCGCUUCUUGCAUAAUCGCCCUUCGAACAUCAUCAUCUUUAAGCACACACCAUCAAUUUCGAAAUCGAAGUGCGCCGUUAGCUCCAAUGCCAAAAUCUUCGGCACUACCAUUCUCAACUUCACUCAGCACCUUUUGAAGAUAAGGAUCCGAGGCUUAGAGAUCCUUGAUUCUUUCCAAUAGGGUCGGUUGCACAACUAAUGCAGCAAGUGUAGCCGGCACUCCCGGCUCUACAACUUCCAACCCAAGCCUUUGCAUCUCCUUUUGCAGUAGCGGUUGAGGCGUAAUUGCCAUCGCUAAGUUCUCCGCCGAUUUUUUACUUAGAGCAUCGGCCACGACAUUGGCUUUCCCGGGGUGGUAUAGUAUAGUGACAUCGUAGUCCUUCAACAACUCCAACCACCGCUGCUGCCGCAUGUUCAAUUCCUUCUGGGUGAACAAGUACUUUAGACUUUUAUGAUCUGUGUAGACCUCGCAAUGCUCACCAUACAAGUAGUGCCUCCAAAGCUUUAGAGCGAAAAUUAUCGCGGCUAACUCGAGGUCGUGAAUCGGGUAGUUCUUCUCAUAACUCUUUAGUUGGUGCGAUGAAUAUGCAAUGACUCGCCCAUUUUGCAUUAGUACACACCCGAGACCAACAUAAGAGGCAUCACUGUAGACUACAAAAGUCUCCCCCGAAGUCAGCAAGGCAAGCACCGAGGUCGACGUCAAUCUGUUCUUUAACUCCUCAAAGCUCCGAUCACAAUUGUCGCUCCAAACACACUUUACUCCUUUAUGCGUGAGGCACGUUAGUGGAGUGGUUAUUUUGGCGAACCCCUCUACGAACCGUCGGUAGUAGCUCGCAAGUCCAAGAAAACUGCGGACCUCCGCCACAUUCGUCGGGCGAGGCCAAUCCUUUAUUGCCUCUACAUUCUUCGUGUCUACCGACACUCCGUCGCCCGAUACCACAUGACCCAAAAAUGUGACCUCCUUUAGCCAAAAGUCACACUUCUUUAACUUCGCAUAGAGCUUCUCCUGCCUGAGUAUCUGCAAUACAGCUCUCAGAUGCUCUUCGUGCUCCUCUUCACUUUUUGAGUAAACCAAUACGUCGUCCAUAAACACCACGACACAUCGAUCCAAUAACGGCCUGAAGACUCGAUUCAUCAAGUUCAUAAAUGCUGCCGGGGUGUUAGUAAGCCCAAAUGGCAUUACCGUGAACUCAUAAUGGCCAUACCGCGUACGGUACCCCGUUUUGUUCACAUCUUUCGGUCUAAUCUUUAGUUGAUGAUACCCCGAUUGGAGAUCAAUCUUCGAAUACACCUUGGAACCUUGCAACUGAUCGAAUAAAUUGUCAAUCCUUGGCAACGGGUACUUGUUCUUUAUCGUUACUUUGUUCAACUCGCGAUAGUCAACGCAGAGUCGAAGUGUGCCAUCCUUUUUCUUCACAAAUAGCACCGGAGCUCCCCACGGUGACACGCUCGGCCUCACGAAGCCUUUAUCGAGCAAGUCUUGUAGUUGGCCUUUUAGCUCUUUUAACUCCACCGGUGCCAUUCUAUACGGAGCCUUCGAAACUGGUUCCGCCCCGGAAAUCAAGUCAAUGACGAACUCAACUUUCCGGUCCGGUGGCAGUCCCGGUAACUCCGUCGGAAAUACAUCCGGGUACUCGCAGGCUACUCGAAUAUCCCACAACUUUGGGUACUCCUUUCGAGCAUCCACUAUGAUUUCCAAAUAGGCCUUACACCCUCCUUUGAUCAUCCUCUUUGCCCUUACAGACGAUAUGGUCGCCGCGAAGCGCCUACUUUUGCACGCUUGGUAGACCAACUCUUCUUGAUUAGGCUCACGAAAAGUGAUCACCUUGCUUUCACAAUCUAUAACCGCAUAAUAUUUGGAGAGCCAGUAGGUCCCCAAGAUAACAUUGAAUCCCCACAUCUGAUCUAGCACUAGUAGAUCAAUCGACAUAAUCCAAUCGCCUAUUUGCACUGGACACGCCAAACAUUCAUUGUGGACACUGAAUGAAUGUUCUGGGGCGUUCACCCACCAGUAAUCCUUAUUGUAUACCAUCUCUAUACCAUGAGUUUUAGCAAAUGACGUGCUAAUGAAUGAAUGAGAUGCGCCUGUAUCAAACACUGCUAUAGCUCUAGUGUCUUUAAUCACAAUUAUACUUGCCACGACGUCGUCGGAUGUUGCAGGUUGCUGCUCCUCCACCUGAGCGGCAAAGACUCGGCCGCUAGGCGCUCUCGAUCCCUUCGGCUAACGCGGUGAUGACGCGCGCCCAGCCGACAUCGCUGGUGGUAACCCCACAAGCUGUCUCGGGGUAGACGGUGCUGAUGCCGCCGUCAGCGCAGAUGACGUCCAGCUCGGGCACUCCCGGAUAAGAUGUCUCGGUUGGCCACACUUGUAACACUUGCUAUCGCGCUGCGGGCAAGUCGACACUCGGUGCUCUCCGCCACAAAUGACGCACCGAGGUGGUCUCCAAUUCCUCGACUGCUGUCGGGGAUACCGAGGGGGUUUCUUAGCAUUUGGCCAGCCCCCGGCACCGCCCGCCGUUCGCUUCUUGCCUUUAUCCUUUGACUCGGCCAUAGCCUCCCUUUCUUCACGUACAUGGGCGCUACCGUGCUCUGCCCACAAAGCUCUAUCGAAGACCUCGGCAAAGGUCGUCAGCUUCAGAAUCUGCACCUUUUCAUAUAUCCUAGGCUGGAGUCCUCGCAAGAACCAAUCAGCCUUGUCCCGAUCAUCUCUAACAACGUCAGGAACGCAGUCGAUAAUGUGGGAGAACUCUUGCUCAUAUUCUCCCACCGAUCAGUCGCCCUGUCGCAACUUGCGAAACUUCUCUUGCAACCUCCGCUUCACCAUGUCGGGGAAGUAGUUCGCAAAGACUGCUCUCUUGAACUCCUCCCAAAGCAUAAGCGGAAGAUCGGUAGGUCGAUCUCGCUUAACUCGCUUCCACCACACCAUCGCCACUUUCUCUAGACAAUGGGUGGCGAGGUACACUUUGUCCUUCUUCGAGGUAUUGAGAUCCACGAAGAGCGUCUCCAUUAAGUCGAUCCACGACUCCACAACCGUCGGCUCCACCAAACCGCCCUCGAAGGUAGGUAGGUUGAACUUCUUGAACUGAAUGAGAGCCGCCAACGUGCGCUCUCGCUCCGCCUCUACCAUCGCGUUAUCGGGAUUUGAGGUUCCCGACCUGGCCGGUACUAUCGUAACUGGCACAGUCGCUGCUGCCGCCGCUCCCUCGUCUACACUCGGCACUACCGCAGGGGGCACGACAUGUGUAACAUACCAGAUUUUGGUAUAAAAAUAAAAAUAAAUAAAAAUAGUGCGAGAAACUAUUUUUAUUGGAUUUAUAGAAGUAAAACACAAGUCAGAAGUGACUUGUGUUAAAAUCGGAAUGAAAACAGAAGAUCUAGAAUUUUCUGUUGGAAACGGGACAGAUAAAUUAGCAGAAAAUGCACAGUCUCAGAAAAUUAUGAAAAUUGGAGAAUAAGUCAGAAAUAUUUUUAUGAGGCUAGAUUUAAAGUUUCAUAUUUUUCUGAUACCCGUAGAGUGAGAAAUAAAAUUCGAGAGUUAUCUGAUAAAGAUUACAGUUCGGUACAGUUUUCAGUGACCAAACGGGGUCGAAACUGAAAACUUAAGAUAUAUUCUUACUCAGUACGUUAAACCGAGCCUGCCUGUCAAAUUUGAGCCCAAACGGACAUUCAGAAGGGCUCCGACUGUUCCGAACUGCUAAACUGCCCUGGAGUGAAUAGUGUUGGAGUGUGUAGUUAUUAAAGAAGUUGAUGCUUCUUCUUCCUCAACCGGCUAGCCCACCCCACCACUCACGCACGCAUGGUGGGAGAGGGAAAACCCUCCCUUCUCUCUCUAGAUUUUUCUUUCAUCUCUCCAAAUCUCUCGCUCAAAUUCGCGGCGUUGGCGGAGAAGAUGCUUGCGAACGCGUUGGGAGCGACGGAUCGAGCUUUCGUGCGGCCGUUGGAGCGGUGUUCUUUAGUUACGGCGUUCACAUUGUGGUAAGCUUUUGGAAUUUGGCUUAAUCCUUCACAUUAAGUGUUCUACUAGCCUCUAAUAAGCAUUGUUAGCAUGUUGCUCCAUUUAAUUUGGAUUAUUUGGAGGUUAAUUCAUGUUAGGGCUCACAAAUGGAGUUUUGUAAAAUAUGAGGGUUUGAUCUCAUUUGACCCUCUAUAGACCUAAUUGCUAGGUAAACGAACGUGUUGGCGAAGUCGGUUCGGCGAUUCGUCGAGCCGUUGUGAUGUUAUUAAAGAAACGGACGUUUAGGCUUCGUUUCCGCCUGGAGGGCCGAGGCGACAUCGUAAACUCAUGAAAAUGGAUUUGAAGCACCGUGGCACAUAACCGAAGAACUUUAAUUUCCGGAUCGUGGAUUGGAGGCCGUUCGGGUGGUCGCGCGAGGGAUCGGGCCAAACCGGGUGCCAGGUGCCGCGGGAGGCCGAUUGCAAGUGUCGACAAGCAAUCGAAAUGCAAAAUGAGGUAGGUUGUGUUUACCGAAGCGACUAGGUCGCCUCUAUGUCUAAGAGAAAUGGUUUCGUAUUGAUGCAUAUAAUAGUAGCUAAUGGUAAAUUAUGUGAAUGCAUGAAGUGAAUGCUAAGUAGGCUACCAAAGAAUGCAUGAGGAUAUAGUGGGAAUGAUGCUAGUUAAAAGUAUGAGAUAAAUGACAUUUGCAUGUUAACAUAAAGUAGAGAACAUGCUAGUUGUAAAGUAUAAUGAUAAGUUGUAAAGAAUGCUAGUUUGGAUAAGCAUGUUAUAUAAAUGCUAGAUAAUGCAUGUUAAUUAUCUAAAGUAACAUGCUAAGAGAAUGCACAUUGAGUGACAUAAUGUUAGUGUUAGAUGAUGCAAGUUAACAUGUAGAGGUUUAUAUUAAUAGAAAUGUGCAUAUGGACAAUCUAUAUAUAUUAGAUCGAGUGGCAUUAAACCUAGAGUCAUGGACAUAGGUUGAACAUGGAUGAUAUGAACCUAGUGUGAAUAAACAUAGGUUGGACAUGAACCUAGUGUCAAAGAAUAUAGGUUGGACAUCAAGUGCCAUUAAACCUAAUGUCUUGAACAUAGGUUGAACAAGUAUAGUGUGAACCUAGUGUCAUGAACCUAGCAAACACUUGUAGCAUUUGAGUAUAUAUAUUUUCUAUCAUUCAUGCAUGAUAGGGCUAAGUACAUGUGAACCUUGGUUGCUUUCAAUGACUUAUUUCUAACGAAGUUGAACAUAGAGAAAGGUAGAACCAUAAUGGACAUGUAUGUUAGGACCCUAUUAUUGUGUGAAUGUGAGAGUUGGACUUGGACAUUAGUGAACAAAGGUGACAUGGACAAUAGAGACAUUGAUUGGCAUAGAGAACAUAGUUGUUAAACAUAGUUUAACCAAGAGUGGCAUUAAGACAAGAAUGACCAAGAGAGCGGCAUGAAUAAAUAGGUAGAAAACCUAUUAUGAUUGUAGCAUUUGUGGCAUUGUGGCUUAUGGCUAUACAUUCCCAAAUUGGGAAUUGGAUCAUACUCACAUUGAGUCUUGGCUUGAGGGUGGUAGCUCCCCCUCGAGCGGUGCAUUCCAGAAUUGUCACCACGGGAGUGCGGUCCCUAAAAACGGUCCCUCAGGUCUUGCAGUGCUUAGAGCCUCCCCGAUCAAAAAGGGUUUUUGAGUUGUAAGUUCGAGGGGAACUGGGUGAACCUCGAUGCAAUUGGGUAAAAGCCAAGUGAAUGUACAUUAAGCAUUAUGAGCUAAAGAUUGAGUAUCCCUGUCGAGUGAAUUUGGGGCUGAGGUGUAUGUGAGACGUCCAUUACCUUGAGCCUGGAUGUAUACGGUAUUCCGCAGAUGAUUGACUCGAGACCGAGUCGGGUGGUUAGCUUGGUUAGUGUAGAGGAAAACCUUAGGAGCAAAUAACCAACGAUAUAAAGUGACAAGAUGUAUAAAUUAUGGAAAAGCUAUGGAUAGCAUGAUAGAAAGUUAAAUCAUUUAUUCUACUUGUAUAGUUGCAUGAUUCGCAUAUAGCAUGGCAUUAUUGCAUUCGUGAGGCAAAGCAUGGUUUUAUUAGUUGCAUAAUCAAGAUAUAUAUCUAUCUGUUUAUUGAACUAACUUGCAGUUGCCUCCCUUGGACCUAUUGGUCGAGCUUUUUCCUUGGGUGGCCGUACCUACUGGGAACCAUGUAGUUGGUUCUCACCCCACGUUGUUUUGGGGUGUUACAGGUUCACACGUGAGCGGCGCGGCGGCGCGAGGCGAGGACGUAGCAUCAUAGUUAGCGCCCUACCACCGAGACCAGAGAUAGCGGUACCCUGAGUCGGCUUUGCUUAGGGUUGUAGAAAAUGAAAAGAAUCAAGUUGUAAUAAUCAUGUUAAAUCGGAUUGUAUUUGGAAGUUAAGUGAAAGCUAAUGUAAAAAUCAAUGAGAAUUGUGAUGUAAAAAUAUAUGAAUGUGAAUGCAUGUAAUAACAUAGGAUGUGUUAUGUUGUUUGAUACCUUCCAUUAUGCAAUCUUGAUUGAAAUGUGUUCCUGGUUGGAACUCAUUGUACUUGUAUUGAUUGCUAUGCCUUGAACGUACAGGGGAGACUCUGUCCGUAGUACAGGGGAUACCCUGUCUGUUCUGCUGUCUAUUGCGGCGCCGCGACCCGGCCAAAUAAGCGGGCGGUCGCGGGGCGUGACAACAUGCUCGACACCCGCCUGGGCCGCCGCCUGCUGACGCUCCAAGGCCUCCUGGAGCCGCUGAAUCUGCUCCCCUUGGCGUUGAACAGACUCCGCUUGUUGCCGCAGUGCGCCAAUAAACGCGGCCAUCUUCUCCCUAAGCUCUCCGUCGCCACUCACUCCGGAUCGAUCGGGCGCCACAUUCGACUCCUUCGGCAUCGACCUUGUCUACAGUCGACCACGAGGCUCCAUUGCUUCCUUAAAAGAAGCAACUCACACUAGCUACAUGACCACAUUACUUGACCAUACCCAAUCCGACGAAAGCAACAUGCACAUUCAUCCUUGCCUCAAGCGUCAUGUCGUCAGCCGCCCGACACAACACUAGAAGUAGAGGAUAAACGAAAAUUAAACUUAGUCUCUAAUCACAUUAGAGACGUCCGAACUUAACCAAAUCACAUGCUUUCGCUAACUUUAAUUCCACGUCACUCACGUUUCCUAGAUCCUUAAGGUCUUCCAAUCCUAAGGGUCUCUAAGUCCAUUCCUAUUCUUUCACUCUUGGCUCUGAUACCACGAUAUCUGUCACGCCCUGGGACCGAUACCAAUUUGGGCCGGCCCGAGCACGUCAAACAGACGCCGAACGGACAGAGUUUCCCCUAUCCGCCCAAGGCUCAUCACCUAUACAUUUUCAAUCAUGAAGUGCACUAGCGGAAACAUACACAAAUGGCUUACACAAGGGUAAGCAAUAGCCAUGAGUGAGAGAAUGGAAACUAACAUUCAAUUUGUACUAUGAUUCAAUUUAGAUCAUAUACAUUGCAUUCAUAGUUCUUUACAUACUUUUCAUCAUUUCUUUUUACAUCACAUUGCCUCAAAAUAAAACUUUACAGUCUUUUUCUUUACUUUAAACAUCUUCGAGUACAAAAGAUGAAGUAAGGGAACGCUACUACAAAAUGUAAACCCAACUCUGGUGGCCUCUGACUAAGGUGCGAUACCUUUACCGCGGUCACUCGCCAGCUCGCUCGGUCCUGGCUCUGUGGAAUAGUAGGGUGAGAACUACAACAAAGUUUCAAGUGGGUUCAGCCCCAAUCUCACCGACUUUUUCACUAGGACUAACUCAGGCAUAAUAGAAAGGAUAAGCAGAAAUAUAGUAACCAAUCUGUAACAUGAUGCUAAUAUGCCUGAACAAUAAAGCACGGAGUAUGCUCAACAUAAAACUCAUGCAGAUUAUGCAAGUUCUUUUGUUCUUUCUCUUUACUCUUUAAGCUUUGUUCUUUAUUCUUGUUCUUUAAUCUCAUGGCUAACCCGGGGGUUUCGCCACAUUAACUUGCCCAUAUUAUCAUUGUUCUUUACAUCACUUUGCAUUAACUUUAAUCAUUAUCAUCACUCUUUACAUCACAUUGAUCCUUUGCCUCACACUAACUCUAGUGUCACUUUACUUUACAUUAUCGAAUGCCACUCGAUCUAUGUCUCAUUGUGUCACUCUGUUCUUUUGCCUUACUUUGAUGCUCACAUUAUAUCUCAUGCAUACAUGUAGGGUUAAACAUUCAUAGGAGUUCUCGACCAUCUCAUUAGGCAAAUUGUACUCACAAUAUGCAACAUCACAUCAUUCUCAUUACAUAUACCCUAUGAUGCAUGCAACAAUGUAUAUAACAUAUGCUCAAUUGAAUGACACAUUAGGCAUAGAAGGAAGUUCAACGAGUUUGGAUAGCACCACCCACCUCGUAGGUUCUCAAAGGUGCUCCGACGAUUUUCUUGGGAUUUUUAGACUCCUCGUUCUUCACCUGCGGCAAAACGAAGCCAACUUAGGCCAUUUUGCCCAUAAGUUUUUAUAGACUUUUCGUAACGUUAAUCCGAGCGCACCAACGCAUCGAAAAUACCCCCAAUUAAGUUUCUAGAGGGUCAAUUUCACUUUGAAACCCUCACAAGCAAAAGCCCCAAUUUGGGUGCCCUAGCUCAUAACAUAUAUCAAACCUAGGGUUUGAUCUCAUUGGAAGCAAAAGAACCUUCAAUCUACUCUAGGAAGUCCAUUAAAACCAUUCUUUGCUUAACCCAAACCCUAGUUUAGAUCCUACCAUGAGAGGGGUAAAAGCUCACCUUCAAGCUCCACCUCUACACUCAAUCCAUGGUUUCGAUCUCAAAAGAAGCAAAAGAAAGCUUCAAAGGCUCAAAAGGUUUUAUCAAAACCCAAUUCUAUGCUUACCCAAACCCUAGUUUGGGAUUUACCAUGAAAAGGGCAAAGCUUGUCACGCCCGAGCUCCGCCAAUUUGGUCGAACUUGGGCACGCCAACAGACCGCCGAACGGACAGAACCUCCCAUGUACGUUCUAGGCGUCACAAUCUAUACAAUACAUACAAGAGGUUCCAACUAGGAACUAUAUUCAAACAUAGACUGCAUACGUAUCAAAAACAUAAAAUGCUAACUAUGCUAUUACAAGCAUUCAUCUCAGAGAUUUAUUACAUUUUACAAUAUCACAAAUACUUUUAAGUUAUUACAUAAGCCUUUAUACAAUUUACAACUUAUACAAUUUACUACAAAUUUGAUUCUUUUAAUCUGAACUGAACUAGACCUCUUCAGGGUAUUGCUAUCUCGGUCUCAGUGGUAGGGCGCUAUCUACGGAGCUACGCCCUGUCCUCGCACCGCCGUGCCGCUCACGUAUGAACCUGUACCCCUAAAAACAACACGGGGGUGAGAACUAUAUAAAUAUAGUUCCCAGUGGGUACGACCACCCAAGGGAAGAGCUCAACCCACCAGGUCCAAAGGAGGCACUGUAACAUGUUAGUCCAAUAGAUAAUAACAAAUAAUUUAUGCAGAUAUUAAAAUAUGUAUGCCUCACGAUAUGCAAUAUGCAAAUUAUGCAACUAUGUAACAAGUAAAUCUAUUGAUUCUACAUUCAAUUCUGCUAAUCAUAGCUCAUGUCAUUUAGCUCUAAAGUUUCUACUACCUUAGGUUCACAAUUCGAGUCCCCUUACUACUAAGGUUUCCACUUUCUUAGCUCUUACUAUUUAUCUUUAGCUUUUAAGGCUUCUACCGCCUUAACCAAGCUAACCGUCCGACUCGGCCUCGAGCCAAUCAUUCGCGUACUACCGUGCACUGGCACCGCACUCAUUGACUUAACCAUCUGGCGGUGAAAUCGUCGCAUAUGCCGAACAAUGGUUCAAGUCAAUCUCUGGCGGCAUAAUCCACAAGCUGGCUUAACCAUCUGGCGGCGAAAUCGUGCACACGCCCUAGCCUUGAUACCAAGGUCAUCACUGGUCUUGGGAUUCCGGAAUCUGUUUCCACAACUUGAGGGUUUAACACUUACCCUAUAUUGUCGACCUUCCUAGGCCUAAAUCAAUCAUUUCCUAGUGGUCAUUUGUAAUACACUGAACUUUUGCAAAUUGCGGAGUUCGAGUGUGUGGAAUGAGUUGUGGAACUAUCCUACAUGUUCUAAAGGGCUUGGACAAGUUUUCGGACAAGUUAGAGAAUGAUUGGAUGGCCAAAGUAAGGAAGUGCAUUGCUGUGGCAUUAUCUUCGAAUUUUGCAUUGUGUACCGGUAUAGGCAUUAUGUUGUACCGGUACAGCAAGCAGCAGCUGCAGCAGGUGCGUGGCAGCAGGGUUCUUUUUGUCUUUUUGUUUCCUGUUCCUAUCCCUUAUGUCCAGCACGACUACAGGAGCUCAGUAAGGGUUGCUGGAGCUCAGGGGAUGGUUCUUCCACCUUCUUCUCUCUCUCUCUCUAGGGUUUUUCUCUCUCUACAAAGAAAUCGCCGAUUUCGCUCGUUUUCGUCGCAACGUUGGUUUUCCGCUGGUUGCGAGCGUCGCUGAACCUACGUGGACGUGUGAGAGAGUAUUUUGGAAAGUUUUCGGAGCCCCGAACCAGUAGUUUACUGGUUAGAGGCUUGAAGAGGUAAUCGACUCAACCUUUUUCCGUAAUCGAGGCUUAAUUACUCGAAUAGUGGCUGAUUUUGGGUUUCGUUGUUUCCAGCUGAGAGAAAAAGGAGAUUUGCUGCUUUGACAGAGUCAGAUACUAUAUCUUAACUCAGUUGGAACUGAGUUUAUGAUCUAAGAAGGUAUAGUACUUUUUUUUUUCAUUGCGUUGCGCAUGAAAUUGAGACAAAAAGGCUAAUUUUGGAAUCGCUGUUCGCAGCAGGUUUUUGAAUUAAACUGAGCUUAAUUGGUGACAUUGGGGACUGGUUUAGAAGGUGUUCUAACCUAGGGUAAGCAGGAAUUUCUGCUAGAGAUCUAAUUUUACAAGAAUUCGGCUAUUUUAGCUAGUAUACUAGCAUUCUAAUGCCGUUUUGAUGUUGUUCGUAGCAAGAGUGCGAUCGACUCUUGGAGUGACUUCAGCUGACUUGUGAAAGCUUUUGAAGGCUCAACUUGAGGUAUUAAGCUAGCCCGAAGCAGGAAAUUAAGUUAUUACUUUGUACUAUGUGUGAUUGGAGCCGAAAUUGGAUUAUUAAGUAAUCGUUUCGACGCGGUUUGAUGCUUUGUUUUCAGCAGGUCCAAAGACCGUGUGAGCUGAGUUUGGAGCUUCUGUUGGGCUGUUUUGAGCUUAGUGAUAGAUGGGUUUGACCUAACCAGAGCAAGUGAAGCUCCCCUAUGUUCUAUAUGUCACUAUAGAAUGGAUUUUGUAGUGCGUUUUUUGCGACUAUGUGAUUGAUAUGAAUUUGGACAUCUUUGCCGCCAUGUUUGAUAUGUUUGACGUUGUACCUCUAUGAAGUAGAGAUGAAGUAGAGAGACUGCAUGCAUAAAAGUAUUUAUGAUCAUGUCUAAUACUGUAAAAUGACUUACGAACAAGUGUAGGAUGCACUUAUAAAGUAGAGAACAAUAGCAUUCUCUUGACUCUAAAGUAGAGAGCUAUGACAUGCUUAUGACUAUGUUGACAGUGCCAUAAUAGUGAAAAGAUUAUAAUGCCAUGUGAUUUAACAUUGCUCUUACAUGUUUACAAUCUAGUGGAUACUAGUUCUUGUUACUAUUUGUGUAUUGAAAUUCCGAUCAGAGGAUCGAGGGUAAGAACAUUGCAAAUGAAAACAUGAUAAUUGAGACAUGUGGACAGUGGAAUAUGCUUGCUUGCCAUCGUGCUCAUUCGCACACGCUUGUGAGGGUCGCUCCCUACAAGCCGGCACUCCGGAGUUGGGCUACGCGACAGUUGCUCGCCCGUGCGGGAUUGGGUGCCGAAGUGGAUUGCCAUGGGGAGUGCAUACUACCACGGGACCAUUAGGCGCGGCGCAAGCCGGACUACCUUGGGUAGGUCCUGAUGAAUGAAAGGAAAACUCUAUUGAGGUGAAAGUACUAAAUGACAAAGGACAGUAAUGAAUGCUUACUAGUUAAAGUGUACAGUAGUUACUUUCACAUUCGUGCUUAUAUUCAUGUUUAUGUUCAUGAUUACAGAAGUUGUUAUAUCUCUAUUAUGCAAAUGAUUCAUUACUGUAGAAAGCUAUUACAUGUUGAUUACAUGCUCAUUACUUGUUAGCAUCAUACUUAUAUAUCAUGCAAUUAUCGUUUUUGCUUUCAUUUAGUACAUCGUGAGCCUAGUGGUGUAAUUCGCCGAGGCUGGCGGCUUACCCACUGGGAACUAUUGCUUAUAGUUCUCACGCCCUUUUUGGUGGUUGUUUUUACAGAGCCAUCUACAGGAGAGGCUAGGGAUCGUGGCAAAGGAGUCGCGUCUAGCUAGACCUUGCUAGGAGUAUGCUAGUCGAUCACCUUGUUACUCGGGCUAUGGCCGAGGGUGAUGUCCCUAUGUAUAGAGAGACCACCAUUGUACCUAUUCUUUUUGUAUACCCCGUGAUGUAUAUUUACUUUUUGGACAGAUACUAUAGUUGUGAUACUUCACGUUUUGUUGAGUUUGUGGAUUAUAUACUCCUUGUUCUAUUGUUGAUAGUCAUUGUGACUUUUACUAUGCUCUGAUAUCAUGAUAGGAUUAUUUUAUGUUUUUACUCCUAUCGACUUGUUUCUUGUAGACGCCUUAUAUACUACAGGUGUAUGGCGGGUCUGUGCACGUACCGGAUAUGCUUCCGCUGGUACCUGGGCGUGACAUCAUUAUACCACUAAAAUCCACAACUUAAUUCAGAUACACUAAGUCUCACUAUACAUGAUAACCUAGGUUCACUUGCUAGGUUCUCUGUCAUUUCACCUAGAUCUCGACUCUAGGUUUACUUACUUGACCUAUGUCCAAUGACACUAGGUUCAUGUCCAACCUAUGUUUAAUAAUACUAGGUUCAUGCCACUCAAUCUAUAUAUUAUCCUAGUUAUCCAUGCCUAGGAUUAUAGUUUACACAUUUUCAUUUAUUUUGUCACCGUCGAGAUUUCUAAUCAACUAGAGUUAUCGACUCAUACUUAUUUCAUAUGUAUCUAGCAUGUUCAUAAUAGGUCAGUAUUUAUAUGUCAUUCAAUAUGAUCAUCAAUAUAUUCAUAUGCAUAUUCCAAUGGUAGGUAACUUAGCUACUAUAUCACAAUUCAUGCUUUCAUUUCAUCAUUCAUAACCUACCACUAUAAAUAUAUGCAUCAAUAAAAACCAUAAAUUACUUUGGCAUGGAAGCGACCUAAUCGCUUCGGUAAAGCACAACCCACCUGUACUGUCACGCCCCGCCCCGAGACCGCUACCAAUUUGGUUCGGUUCGGGCACGCCGGACGGAUGCCGAACGGACGGCACCUCCCCUGUCCGCCCAAGGCUCAACUAAGGAUCAUGUACAAAGAAUUUGCCCAGGGAUAAUUCAAUACAUACACGAUCCAACAAGGAGAGAAGCACAAAGAGUGCAAUACAACAAGAGCAAGUAACACAAGUAUACAUACAAGUGCAUAAAGAGAGAUACAUCUAGCUAUUACAUUACAUUCCACUUUUACAUCUUUGAUUACAUUUACAUUUUCAUCAUCACCCAAAAUGAAUACAUAUUCCACUCACAUGCAUCUAGGUACAAUGUACUCUCCAAAAUACAACCAUGCCACCUAUGUACACGAGAGUACUCUAGUACAAAAGGAAAGCCACAACUAGCUAGCUAGGGCGCUACGCCCUUACCGCGAUCACCUGCCGGUUCGCUCUCGUGUGUACCUGUACCCCAAAACCACACGGGGUGAGAACUAUAUAAAUAUAGUUCCCAGUGGGUUCGGCCGUCGACUCCGCCGAUCUUUCCACUAGGUCUAAGCUGGCAUAGAUAGAUAGAUAGAUAGAUAGAUAGAUAGAAAUGAAACUGCAACUAUGCUCUACUAUGCCAUCAAAUGCAAACAAUGCAUGGAAUAUCAUCUAGCAACAAGCCUACUAUCAUGCUAGCAUGCUUCAACGAUGUAAUGAAUACAAAUACGACAUAGUUAUGCAAUCCACUAACAUAUACUAUGUCUAAUCAGGGAUGAAUAGAAAUCCACUUAUGCUAUUCAUGUCAUUACCCCAUCCACUAGGCUACCCCGCCUAAGAUCUCAAAUCUCAUAGGUACUCACACCACAAUCUAGUAGGUGAAGAGGUGAAGAGCUACCCCGCUCUUCGCCCUGACUGAUAUCUCAAAUCUCACAGGUGAGGAGCUACCCCACUCUUAUCUCACCCGUCUCACAUCUCAAAGGUCAUAGAUGAAGAGCUACCCCGCUCUAAUCUCAUAGGUAAUGAGCUACCCCGCUCAUUCUCAUAAAUAAUGAGCUAACUCUAUCAAGUAUACAUGCAACUCUACUACGCUCAACAAGCUUAACAUGCUCAAUAUGCCCAAUAUGCUCAACUUGCAUAAUCCUCUUGAGUUUAUUACCCAAUCAUCUAGCUGGCCCAUAGGCGCGCCCUCGACUCACAACUCAAAUCCGUCUAUGAAGGGGGACUCGAACCACCCGAGGGAUUGUCUGCGGGACCCCACAUAGGCAAUCCCUUGGGACCCCACAUAGGCUAUCCCAAUCGUUUCACGUGCCAAGACUCCGGAGCUCGCACUACUUGUGCGGAGCGACCGCCACAAGCGCCGAACAGACUGUGUGAGUAUAAUCAAAUUCGUUUCCAACGAAGGUACCCGGUCACUACGACCAACAUGCACAAGUGUUCUUUUAACACUACGUUCUAAUGCCACUCGUCAAGUUGUUUACUUGGUAUACAUAUGCCACUCGUCAAGUAUGUACUUGGUUCACAUGUCACUUGCCAUAAUGCAAUUGUCCCAACUAUACUAGUCAUAUAUCCUCUAUGCAAGAUCAAGUUAUUGUUUAACUUAUCUCUAUAGGGUUCUAUGUCACAAACUCAUUCUCAUGCACUCUAAGUUCACAUGCCAAGCUUACUAUGCCGCAAUACAAGGGAGCAUGAAAGAAUAGUAAAAGUAACAUCUAAAUACCCUAACAUGCAUGAUACUAUAUAUGUAGGAUGUUCAACAUAAAAAUACUUAGACAUAGGGAGAAGCCCAGUUGCUUCGGGAUGACACCCCCCACCUUUUAUCGCUAUCACGAGGCUAGGGUUCCGAUUUCGUGAUUUUUGUAAGCUUUCGCCACGAGCUGCGGCAAUCUGUACCUUAACGGCUUCAUUCUUUAAUUUCUUCGCGUAUGCUCAUCGUAUCGCCAAACCGACUUCGCCAACGCGUCAGAAAACCUAGCAAUUAGGUUUAUACAUGAUUAAUUUAGAUCAAACCCUCACAUAUUGCAAAAUCCCAUUUUUGAGCCCUAACAUGCAAUUACCCCCAAAUAAUCCAAAUUAAAUGGAGCAACAUGCUAAGAAUGCUCAUUAGAGGAUACUAGAACACUUAAGGUUAAGGAUUAAGCCAAAUUCCAAAAGUUUACUAAAAUGUGAAUGCCGAGACGGAAGCACACCGCUCCAACGGGCGCACGAAAGCUCGAUCUGUCGCUCCCAACGCGUUCGCAAGCUCGUUCUCCGCCAACGCCGCGAAUUUGGGCGAAAGAUCUAGAGAGAUGAGAGAGUUAUUUAGAGAGAGAAAGUGAGGAUUUCUCUCACUACCACCAUGAACGUGUGCUUGUGGGGGUGGUGCUCGGUUGUGAAGAAGCCAAGUCACUAGAAGCUUCUACUUAUAGUCAACACCCCAAUAGUAGCAUACACUAUUCACUUCAGGCAGUUCGAAAUCUGAUAUCUUUCGCUGGAGCCCUCUGAAUAUCCGUUUGAGCUCAAAUUUGACAGUCAUGUUCGGUUUUGCUUAACUUAAUGAAAGAAAUUUUAAUAUUUCAGUUUCGACCCCGUUUGGUCAUCGAAAGCCGUACCGAACUAUAAUCUUUAUCAGAUCACUAUCGGAUUUUAUUUUUCACCUUCCGAGUGUCAGAAUGAUAUGAAACUUUAAAUCUAGCAUCAUAAAAAUAAUUCUGACAUAUCCUCCAGUUUUCAUAAUUUUCUGACACUGUACAUUUUCUGCUAAUUUAUCUGCCCCGUCUCUCACAGAAAAUUCUAAACCUUCUGUUUUCGCUCCGAUUUCAGCACAGGUCAUUCCCAACCUAUAUUUCACUUCUCUAAAUCCAAUAAAAAUAGUAUCUCAUACUAUUUUUAUUUAUUUUCACUUUUAUAUUUAAUAUCUAGUAUGUUACAUUCUGCCGCAACCUCACCGGAACCAUUUAAAUGUACACCGUAACUUCAUAGUUUUAGAAGUCCGGUACCUUACAUGUACUUAAUACCGGAAUGUGAGAAAUCCGCUUUUUGCCCUUAAUGGACGAUCUCAAUCCUUGCGCGCGACAACCUGAGCUAAAAUGAGGUUUUUCUUAAUUAGUGCAUCGUAGGCUUGUCGGAACACCAAUCCGAGCUUCCCAACGCGUCGGUUUUAUCUUCAAUUAGGAUUCUAUGCAAUCAAUUCUAAGCUAGGCUCCCAAUCCUACAAAAUACGAUCUUAGGCUCUACAUACACUGUUUCUAUACAAUUUCACAAAAUAUAUAGAGUAAUUCAACUUUUCACUAGCCCAAGAACCUCAAAAUAAUUAGUUUAGAGGAUUUACAUCAAUCCCUAAUAAAGGAUUACAAAAAUAUGCAUAGUAACUUAUUUUACUUCCUAGCUUCCAAAGCUCACAUCUGACAUACAUGGCACUUUUCUAGGUUCUCAUGGCUAAAUCUGCUUUUAGCAACCAUAUAAAGCAAACUUAGGCUUUAACAAUCUAAAAAAACCUUAAACUUAAUAAAGGAAUAACAACCAUUCACAUGUAUACUACACACAUAUAUACAUAACUCAACAUAUGGCUUGUUCUCUGGGGUUCAUGGCAACUUCAAGUUUUGGAAACCAAGAAGUUUACAACCAAUUUCUCCUUAGGUUAAGUAAACAUAAACUCUAUUAAAGCAACAGCCCCAGUUUCAUACAUGUGGCCAACAUGUUUUCUCUAAAUUUUCUUUCAUGUCAACAGAAGCUUUAACAUCUACAAUCCUUAGAGUCCAAGAGUUCCAAUUUAAAUCCUCAUUAAAGCACAUAACACGCCCUAAUUAACCAGGAAUUAUAUCAUUCUUAGCAAGAAAUACAACCAACCCACCUUAGGUUCCAAGCUCCAAAAAGGGUUCUUCUCAGCUCAAGCUUCUAUUCCACCAAAAUCCACCCACUCCACUAAUUCUCUAACAACUAGCCACCUUACAUUUGUAGAGAGAGAGAAGAAACCAAAAUGAAAAGAGAUGAAGAGAGAGAGAGUCUUGGUACGCAUGGAGGGUUGAGGUGCAGGGUUGUAGAUAAGAUCAGGGAACAUUGCAAUUAAACCCCUCCACAUGGCUGAAAUUACCUUGCAGCCCAACACUAACACAAUUUUUGGUUUAGUAGUUCGGAAUCUGAUACUUUUCGCUGGAGCCUUUCUGAAUGUCAGUUUGCGCUCAAAUUUAACAGUCAGGCUCGGUUUAACAUAACAAGAACUAAAAAAUUUUAAUCUUUCAGUUCCGACCAUUUUUGGUCACCGAAUGCUCUACCGAACUGUAAUCUCUAGCAGAUAACAGUCGGAUUUUAUUUUUUACCUUCCGGGUGUCAGAAUGACAUGAAACUUUAAAUCUAGCCUCAUAAAAAUAAUUCUGACAUAUUCUUCAAUUUUCAUAAUUUUUUGACACUAUUCAUUUUCUGCUAAAAUACCAGCCCCAUUCUUUUACAGAAAAUUCUAAAUAUUCUGUUUUCGCUCCGAUUUCAACACGAGUCAUCCCAAACUUAUAUUUUACACCCUUAAGUCCAAUAAAAAUAGUAUCUCACCCCAUUUUUAUUCACACUUAAUUUUAUAUUAUUUUGCUCACUUUAAUCAACAGAAACCUCAUAGUCCAAUAAUUUUCCUUCGAAGUCGUUUCGCGCCCAAUUUGCGCCGAAACACUCAUUUAUCUUCGGAAUUCAUUCCCACGCAUUCAAAAUCACUUGAGGAAGAUACAAAACCAGCUCAACUUUACUUUGAUCCUCUAGAUCAAAGUUGACAUCGCAACUCCAAAUUUUCAUAUAUUACAAAGCUUACCUCUAAGUUUGCUCCUUUCUUGCACUAGAGGGGAAGAAGAAGAAGUCACUCCACUCCAAUGGCUUCUUCUCCACCUUCCUUGCCUUUCUUUUUCCUUUCCUUCUCCUUCUUCUUCUCUUUCUUUCCUUUCCUUUCUUCUCUUCUUUAUCUUCUAGAGAGAGAAAGAGAGAUGAGAGAGUGUGAGAGGGAGUGAAAUGAGAGAAGUAUCUCAUUUUCCCCCAUACUAUACCCUAUGGGUUGCAAAAUUACAGUUAAACCCCUCAACUUUCAUCUUGUUACACUCCCCAAACUGGGCAUUUUUCGUGCUCGGGGACCGGUCUCCGCGACUUAGGACCGGUUCCAGAGAGCUCUCCCCGCGGGCAGCCAAGGCUACGUGCGACGCAACCGGUCUCUCCCCCAGAGGGACCGGUCUCUCGGUGACCAGUCUCUUCCCGCAGGGACCGGUUCCCGAGAGCUGGCUUUCUGGGACUUAGCCGAUUUUUCGGCUUUCUCACGUUGCACGCGUUCGGGGACCGGUCUCUCCCACCAGGGACCAGUCACCGAGAGCUCAAAAACUGCAGUUUGCAGAUUUUUGAUUCUUUAGCUCUCGAAAACCUCCCACAACGCACUUUUGACCAUUUUAACACCUUCGGACUUUUCGAAGUGUACCAUUCUCGCACUUUGGUCAAUUUGACUAAAGUUCGAUAUUUAUUUUUUGAAUUUUCGGUAUAUUACAAAUCUAGAGAGAGAAAGGGAGGUUUCUCUCUCCUUCUCCAUGCGUGCGUGUGUUGUGGGGUGGUGUGGUCGGCUGAGGAAGAAGAAGAGGUCAACACUCCUCUUUAGUCAACACCCAAAACACUAUUCACUUCGGGCAGUUUGAAAUCUGAUAUCUUUCGUCGGAGCUCCCUGAAUAUCCGUUUGAGCUCAAAUUUGACAGUCAUGUUUGGUUUACUUAACGAGUCCAAAAAAAUUUUAAUAUUUCAGUUUCGACCCCGUUUGGUCACCGAAAACUAUACCGAACUGUAAUCUUUAUCAGAUAGCUGUCGGAUUUUAUUUUCCACCUUCCGGGUAUCAGAAUGAUAUGAAACUUUAAAUGUAGCCUCAUAAAAAUAAUUCUGACUUAUCCUCCAGUUUUCAUAAUUUUCUGACACUGUGCAUUUUCUGCUAAUUUAUCUGUCCCGUUUCAAACAAAAAAUUCUAAAUCUUCUGUUUUCAUUCUGAUUUCAGCACAUGUCACUUCUGACUUAUAUUUUACUUCUCUAAAUCCAAUAAAAAUAGUUUCCCACACUAUUUUUAUUUUUAUACCAAAAUCUAGUAUGUUACACUGCCACAAUCUUUUAAAGCAGAGUAUACUGAGUAUGAGGAGUUGGAGGAAGAAGUUGGGCUCAAUGUGGCCCAAUUACAGCUAGAGGAUACCAAACCGGCCAAUGCGGUGGUUUUCGAGAAACUAUCGGCCAUGCAGAUAAGAUUUGUAAGGCCUUUUUUCAUACGGGCCUUAGUUGAAGGUCGGCCGGUAGGCCGAGUUAUGAUAGACGGCGAAGCGAUGGUCAAUGUCAUGCCCACUUCAUUCUUUAAGAAGUUAGGCAAGGAUGAAGAUGAGUUGAAGCCCACUGACACGAUCAUGACCGACUUCACUGGGAGCGGUAAGCAAGCUCGAGGGGUGCUUACGACCGAGAUCACGGUAGGUUCCAAAACUUUACGAACUGCAUUCUUUGUGGUUGAUGCAGAUAGUCAAUAUAACUGUCAUGCCCCGAGACCGCUACCAAUGCGGUCCAGUUCGGGCGCGUCGAACAGACGCCGGACGGACAGCACUUCCCCUGUCCGCCCAAGGCUCAAAAAUAAGAUCAUGUACAUAGAAUUGCCUAGGAAUAAAUUCAAUUACAUACAUGAUAAAGCACGGAGCACUAUAAGUACUAACAAGUAAGAGUAAGGCACAAGUAUACUAUACAAGUGAAAUAAGGAGAGAUACAUCUAUCUACUACAUCCACAAGGCAUUCAACAUUUAGAUCCUUGAUUACAUUUACAUCUCCAAAAUGAACAUUCAUGAUAAUCUCCCAAAUACACAAGCAACCUCCCAAAGUACAUCAUAUGUCACGGGGUACACGAGGGUACACUAAUGCAAGUGGAAGCUACUAACUAUACCUAGGGUGCGAUGCCCUUACCACGGUCCUCUGCCGGUGCUCUCUCGCUAGGCCCUGCAACAAAGUGGGGUGAGAACUAUAUAAACAUAGUUCCCAGUGGGUUCAGCCGCCGACUCCGCCGAUGUCACGCCCCGGGACCGGCGGAGGCCCUCCCGGUAGCGUGCCCAGACCCGCCAUAUGUCUACACAUAUAAGGCGUCUACAAUAAAAGCGGAAGAAAAGCAAGAAAUAGAACAAAUAAAAGAAGGGAAAUAACCAGCAACUAAUGAUAUCAGAGCAAAUAUAGUUCUAACAUCUACACCAAAGUAAAGAGAUAAGGAUAGACAAUAAAGGAAAACAUAAGUAGUACAAUAUCUGUCUCUAGUACAAAAAUGGUGGUCUCUAUACAUAUACGGUACAACUCUCAACCUCUCACAAGCAUAUAACACGAGAGGUAGACCACCUAUCGAACGAUCCCUCGGUAAGCACGCUAGCCCGAGGCGAUACCCUUUCCGCGAUCCCUGGCCUCUCCCUGCGUGGAAGGCUCCAUGCAAUUACCCCCAAUAAUCCAAAAAUUAAAUGGAGCAACAUGCUAACAAUGCUCCAUUAGAAGGAUACUAGAACACUUAAGGUUAGGAUUAAGCCAAAUUCAAAAGUUUACAUAAAUGUGAAUGCGGACGGAAGCACAGUAAUCGGCUCCAAACGGCGCACGAAAGCUCGAUCUUCGCUCCACUCAACAUAGCGUUCCAAGCCGUUCUCCCAACAUGCCGCGAAAUAUGUGCGAUAAAAGUCUAGAGAGAUUAAGAAGAUUAUUUAGCGAAGAAAAUGAGGAUUUGCUCUCACUAACACCAUGAAACCGUGUGCUGUGGGGUGGGUCGUUUGGAAAACCAAUCACUAGAAGUUCUACUUAUAAGUCAACAACCCAAUAGUAGCAUACACUAUUCACCCUUCCCAGACAUUCGAAAUCUAUAUCUUCGCUGUGAGCCCUCUGAAUAUUCCGUUAGCUCAAAUUCUGACAGUCAGUCGUUUGCUUAACUUAAUGAAAGAAAUUCUUAAAUAUUUCAGUUUCGAGCCCUGGGACUCGUUUUCCGGUUUGGUCAUCGAAAGCCCGUACCUGAACUAUAAUCUUUAUCAGUAUAAACUAUCGAUUUUAUUUUUCACGCUCCUGAGUGUCAGCAAGAUUGAAACUUUAAAUCUACAUCAUAAAAAUAAUUCUGACAUAAUCCUCCAGUUUUCAUAAUUCUGACACUGGUAAUUUUCAUGCUAAUUUAUCUCCCAGUCUCUUCACAGAAAUCUAAAACCAUUAUUCGUCUUUCGCUGCCGAUUUCACAUCAGUGUCAUUGCCCAGCCUAUAUUUCACCUUCUCAUAAAUCCAAUAAAAUCAGUAUCUCAUACUAUUUUUAUUUAUUUUUCCCCUUUCACUUUAUAUUUUAAUAUCUAGCUAAUGUUACAUUCUGCCGCAACCUCAACGCGAACACAUUCAAAUCGCUUCCAAAUCAAAUGUCACCGUAUGCUUCAAUAAUAUAGAAGUCCGGUACCCGUUACAUGUACUUAAUACGGGAAUGUGAGAAAUACCGCUUUGCCUUAAUGGACCCGAUCUCAAUUCUGCGCGCAGACAACUCUAGCAAAUGAGGUUUUUUAUCUUAAUUAGUGCAUCGUAGCGCUUGUCGGAACACCAAUCCGAGCUUCCCACGCGUCGGUUUAUCUUCAUUAGGAUUUUACUGCAAUCAAUUCUAACUAGGCUCUCCAAUCCACAAAAUAACGUCUUAGCUCUACAUUACACGUUUCUUAUACAAUUUCACAAAAUAUUUAUAGAGUAAUUCAACGUUUUCAACUAGCCCAAAAGAACUCAAAUAAUAGUCUAAGAACGGAUUUACAUCAAUCCUCAAUAAAGAUUAAAUGCACCCCAAAACUAUCAUAGUAAACAUUAUUUUAUCUAGCUUCCAAGCUCAACAUCUGACAUACAUGGGCACUCUUUCAGGUUCUCAUGCUUAAAUGCCUUUUAGCACCAUAUAAAGCAAAACUAGGCUUAACAAUCUAAAAAACUCUAAACUUAUAAAGGAAUAACUACCAUUCAACAUUAUACUACACAUCAUAUAUACAUAACUCACAUAUGGCUUUUCUCGGGGUCAUGGCAACUUCAAGUUUGGAAACCAAAGAAGUUUAACAACCAAUUUCUCCUAGGUUGAAGUAAACAUAACUCUCAUUAAGCAACAGCCGCCAGUUUUCAUACAUUGUGGCCAACAUGUUUUCUCUAAUUUUCUUUCAUGUCAACAAGCUUUAACAUCUACCAAUCCUUAAGUCCCAAGAGUUCAAUUUAAAUCCCUCAUUAAAUGCACUAAACACGGCCUAAUUACUCAGUGAAUUAUAUCAUCUUAGGAAGAAAUAGCAACCAACACACCUUAGGUUCCAAGCUCCAAAAAGGUUCUUCUCAGCUCAAGCUCUAUUCCAUCCAAAAACCAAACCACUCCAUCUAAUUCUCUAACAACUAGCCACUUACAUUUGAAUAAAAGAGAAGAAGAAGAAAACAAUGAAAAGAGAUGAGAAAGAGAGUAAAACUUGGUACGGCAUAGGAGGGGUUGAGUGCAGGUUGUGAUAAAAUCAGGGAACAGAUUGCAAUUAAAACCCUCACACACAUAGGCUAGGAAAUUACCUCGCAGCCGGCACACACUCACCACACAUUUUGGUUUAAGUAGUUCGGUAAUCUGAUACUUUUCGUCUGGAUGCUUUCUGAAUUGUCAGUUGCGUCAAAUUUAACAGUCAGGCUCGGUUUAAAACAUAACAAGGAAAUAAAAUUUUAAUCUUUCAGUUCGACCAUUUUUUGGUCACCGAAUGCCUCUACGCGAACUGUAAUCUCUAGGGCAGAUAACAGUCGGAUUUUAUUUUAACCUUCCGGUGUCAAUAAUGACAUGAAACUUUAAUCUAGCCUCCAAUAAAAAUAUUCUGACAUAUUCUUCAAUUUUCAUAAUUUUUUGACACAUUCAUUUCUGCUAAAAUACCACCCCAUUUUUACAGAAAAUUCUAAAUAUCUCUUUUUUUCGCUCCGACUUUCAAACAAGUCACCCAAAUAUAUUUACAACCCUUAAUCCAAUAAAAAUAGUAUCUCACACCCAUGUUUUAUCACUACUUAAUUUAAUUAUUUCGCUCACUUUAAUGCAACAGAAACCUCAUAGUCCAAUAAUCUUUCCUUCGAAAGACAUCGUUUCGCGCCCAAUUUGCGACGGAAACACUCAUUUAUCUUCGAAUUCAUUCCACGGCAUAUCAAAAUCACUUGAGCGAAGAAUUACAAACCAGCUCAAAACUUCUACUUUGAUCCUCUAAUCAAAGUUGACAUCGCAACUCCCAAAACCAAAUUUCAUAUAUUACAAGCUUACCUCUAAGUUUGUCUCUUUCUUGGCACUAAGAGAGGAAGAGAAGAAGUCACUCCACUCCAUAUGGCUUCUCUCCUCCACCUUCCUUGCUUGUUCUUUUCCUUUCAUCUCCCUUCUUCUUCCUUUCUUUCUUUCCUUUCUUCUCUUCUUUUAUCUUGCUCAACAUGCUUAACAUGCUCGAUAUGCCCAAUAUGCUCAACUUGCAUAAUCCUCUUGAGUUUAUUACCCAAUCAUCCGGCUGGCCCAUAGGCGCGCCCUCGACUCACAACUCAAAUCCGUCUAUGAAGAGGGAUUCGAACCACCCGAGGGUUGUCUGCGGGACCCGACAUAGGCUAUCCCUUGGGACCCCAAAUAGGCUAUCCCAAUCGUUUCAUGUGCCAAAACUCUGGAGAUCGCACUAGUUGUGCGGAGCGACCGCCACAAGCGCUGAACAGACUGUGUGAGUAUGAUCAAAUUCGUUUCCAACGAAGGUACUCGGUCAUAUGACCAACAUGCACAAGUGUUCUUUUAACACUAAGUUAUAAUGCCAGUCGUCAAGUUGUUUACUUGGUUCACAUGUCACUUGCCAUAAUGCAAUUGUCCCGACUAUACUAGUCAUAUGUCAUCCAUGCAAGAUCAAGUUAUUGUUUAACUUAUCUCUAUAGGGUUCUAUGUCACAAACUCAUUCUCAUGCACCCUAAGUUCACAUGCCAAGCUUACUAUGCCGCAAUACAAGGGAGCAUGCAAGAAUAGUAAAAGUAACAUCUAAAUACCCUAACAUGCAUAAUACUAUAUAUGCAGUAUGUUCAACAUAGAAAUACUUAGACAUAGGGAGAAGCUCAGUUGCUUCGGGAUGACACCCCCCACCUUUUAUCGCUGUCACAAGGCUAGGGUUCCGAUUUCGUGAUUUUUGGAAGCUUUCGCCGCGAGCUGUGGCAAUCUGUACCUUAACGGCUUCGUUCUUUAAUAUCUUCACGUAGCCUCGUCGUAUAUCCGAACCGACUUCGCCAACGCGUCAAAAAACCUAGCAAUUAGGUUUAUAUAUGAUCAAUUUAGAUCAAAAUCCCUCACAAGCAAAACCCCUCUUUUGAUGCCCUAAGAUGCAACCAUGCAAGAAUUCAUCAUUUGAUCUCUAAAUUCGAGCAUCAACCAUCUAUUUAGCAUCUAGGAGUUUCACUAAACCCAUUUCUAAGGCAUACAAAUCAUUACUUAGCAAUCUACCAUUAUUGCUAUCAAAGCUUACCUCUCAAACCCAAGCUCUCUUCAAGCCAAUGGUGAAGAAAAAGAAAGCUUCACCUCUAAGCAAGCUUUUCUCUACCAAACUCCACACUUUGGAGCCAAUCCUAGAGAGAGAGAGAGAGAUUUCUCUUAUGUUGGCUCAAGUAGAGAGGAAUGAGGGAAAUGAAAUAACACCCUUAUAUAUAUAUAUAUAUAUAUAUAUAUAGAGUGAGGCUACUAUGCUAUCGGAAGCACGGAGCCUUCCGUGCUUCCAGCUCGUUUUCAAUGUUGCGACUUUCGAAUCGUCGAUCGGCUCCGUUAAACUUGAUCUAGAGUAUUUGAAGUACCUAGAAAAUAAAUUUUAUUAUUUUACGAUAUCAUUUGCCUACUGAACGAAGGGGUUCAAAAUCAACGGCUGAAAAUAAAAAUCUUACAAAAUAUAAUAAUAUGACAUUAAAAUUUUAAAUCAAAGAUAUUAAUCUUGUUUUAUAUAGUAUAAAGAAUUUUCUAUCAAAAUUUCACGUGAUUUGGAUAUUUCUACACCGUUAAACUUGUAAACGGCUCACUAUGGCCAUUGAAAUUUGUUGAUUUUGAGCCCAUUCGAUCACUAGGCAAAUGAUAUCGAAAAAUAAUAAAAUUUAUUUUCUAGGUACUCCAAAUACUCUAGAUCAAGUUUAACGGAGCCGAUCGACGAUUCGAAAGUCGCAACGUCGAAAAUGAGCUGGAAGCACGGAAGGCUCCGUGCUUCCGAUAGCAUAGUAGCCUCACUCUAUAUAUAUAUAUAUAUAUAUAUAGGAGGAAACUUCACCUCCAAGUAAACUCUCCCAAAAUACUAUUCACUUCAGCAGUUUAAAACUAACAUUUUUCACCGGAGCCCUUCUAAACGUCCCUUUGAGCCCAAAUUUGACAGGCAGGCUCGGUUUUACUUAAUAAGUUCAAAGAAAUUUUAAUCUUUCAGUUUCGACCAUGUUUGGUCACCGAAAGCUGUACCGAACUGUAAUCUUUAUCAGAUAGCAGUCGGAUUUUAUUUUCUACUUUCCGAGCGUCAGAAUGGUAUGAAACUUUAAAUCUAGCCUCAUAAAAAUAAUUCUGACAUAUCUUUCAGUUUUCAUAAUUUUCUGACACUGUGCAUUUUCUACUAAUUUAUCUGCUCCGUUUCACACAGAAAAUUCUAAAUUUUCUGUUUUCGCUCCGACUUCAACACGAGUCAUUCCAGACUUAUAUUUUACUUCUAUAAGUCCAAUAAAAAUAGUAUAUCACAUUAUUUUUAUUUAUAUAUAUUUUUAUAAUAAAUUCCGACAUACUAUAUCCUACCGUAACUUCUUACUUCGAGGAGUUCGGUAUCUUACAUUCUCCCCUCCUUAAAAAGGAGUUUCGUCCUCGAAACUCAAAUUCAAUUUAAAUUCAAUCUAAUUCAACUCAAUCAAAACUCCUACCUCAACUCAUUUUUUCGAAGAGAUGAGGAUGGUGCGCCUUCAUCACUUCUUCGAGUUCCCACGUGGCUUCACGAUUGUCAUGAUUGCUCCACCGGAUCUUAACAUAGGGAAUCUCACGGUUUCGCAACUUGCGCACUUCCCAUGCAAUAAUUGACACCGGGAACUCCUCGAAACUCAGAUCUUCGUGAAGCUCUGGCAGUUCGUAUAGCAUUGCGUGAUCGGGAUUGUGAAUGUACUUGCGAAGGUUGGAAACGUGGAAUACAUUGUGAACGUCCGCGAGCUUCGGUGGCAAUGCAAGCCGAUAAGCUACCGCUCCAAUACGUUCCAACACUUCAUAAGGCCCAAUGUAUCGAGGACUCAACUUCCCUCGAACCCCAAAUCUCCUCACACCCCUCUUGGGUGAAACUUUCAGAAACACACGGUCUCCUACCGCGAAUUCUAUACUUCGACGGCGCUUGUCUGCAUAACUCUGCUGUCUAGAUUGCGCCGUGAGCAAUCUCUGACGAGCAAGGCGAACUUUCUCCUCUGCCUCCCGCAAGACAUCGGGGCCUAACACCGCACGUUCACCUACAUCACCCCAGUGUACUGGAGAUUGUCACUUCCGCCCGUAAAGGACCUCGAACGGUGCCAUCUCAAUACUGGCUUGGUAACUGUUGUUGUAGGCGAACUCGGCCAUCGGUAAGUGGUCUGCCCAACUACCCUCGUAGUCAAUGACACACGCCUGCAGCAUAUCCUCCAGAAUUUGGAUAGUUCUCUCCGACUGCCCAUCUGUCUGAGGAUGAAACGCGGUACUGAAAUCAAGCCGUGUGCCAAGUGUCUCCUGCGAGCUUUUCCAAAAGUGUGAAGUGAAUCGGGGGUCUCGAUCCGACACAAUUGACUUCGGCACCCCGUGUAACCUCACUACUUCGUCAAGAUAUACCUGCGCUAACCUAUCACCCGACCAGGUAGUGUGAAUUGGUAAAAAGUGUGCUGACUUCGUAAUGCGGUCCACAAUCACCCAGAUUGCGUCGUGGCCACCCGACGAACGGGGUAACCCAACCACGAAGUCCAUGGCUAUGUCGUCCCACUUCCACUCCGGAAUGGGCAAACUCUGUAGCUUUCCUGCUGCGUAUCGGCGUUCUGCCUUGACUUGCUGGCAUACUAGACAUUGCACCACAUAGCGUCCAAUGUCCGCCUUCAUCCCCGGCCACCAGUACUGCAUCUUUAGAUCUUGGUACAUCUUGGUGCUGCCCGGGUGAAUACUAUUGGGAGUCCGAUGUGCCUCUUGCAAAAUCAACUUGUGAACUUCUUCACUUUCCGGUACGCACCAUCGGUUUCGAAAUGGGAGUGUACCCUCGUCGUCUAUGCGGAAAUCGCCGCCAUGACCACUCUCGAUGUGACGCCCAAACUUCCCAAGGGGUCACCUAUCCUAGGACUACUCCCGUCCUAGCACACUUAACUCUCUUAAUGUGACACACUGGACCUUUGCAAAUUGCGAGGUUCGAGUGAUUGGAUGUGUCCUGAGCUUUUUCAGACUUUCUAGUGGGUCGUUGACAGUAUUCCGACCUAUGGUUCGAAUCCCGAAAAGUGAGGUUUAAAGCUUAGCACUAAAACCCGAAAAAUCGGAUUUUUGGUUAGCUCUCGGGUAGCCUUCAUUGGGCUGUGUACCGGUACAGGGUUGGUGGCUGUACCGGUACAGGGUUGAUGGUUGUACCGGUACGGGAUUGUGUACCGGUACACAGGCAGCUUCCCAGCCAAUCCGAGGCUCGGGUUUGGCAUUUUCGUGGGAUGUGUACCAGUACGUGGGCCCGUGUAUCAGUACGCAGUGGCAGUUUUUGAGCAGUUUGAACUGCAGGGACUUUUUUGUAAUUGUGGUCUUCUAUAUAGCCACCCACGCCCCUAGGACUCUCCCUUGAGCUGAGAAGGGUGGAGAACAAGGUGAGUGAAGUCCUCUCUUCCCCUCCUUUGAUUUGAUCUCCUGGAUGGAUUUUGGUGGAUUAAUUCUUGUUUUUGCCUUUUGGAGCCUUUUCCACCAUUGAUGAAGAUUGGAGCUUGGUUUUGGUGCAUGGUUGAGGGAAGAUCUUGGCACUUAGAGAGUUUAGAGCUUGGAUUGAAGCUUCUAAGAGGUAAUCUACUUGUUCUCUCCCUCUAGAUUGGAAUUUUAUUGUUGGUUUUGAGAUGAAACCCUAGAAUGAGGUUUUAGUAAUUUGAAUCUAGGGCCUUUUGAGCUUAAUUGAUUGGAUUAGAACCUUCCCUUGGGUUGGAUUGGAAGGGAUUUAGCUCUCUUUUGGAGCUUGGGAAAGAUUUUCUACUCCCUAGGUGAGAUUUUAGCCCUUUUGCCUUGAUGGUUAAUGUUUGAUCUUAUAGUUAAUCGUAAUGCCCGUGUAUCUCUUCGCUCCUUACUUUUAGGCUAUUUAGAGACUCGUGGACAACUCCGUACGGCGAAACGAGGGACUACGCGACGGUUCGGUGGGUUUGACCUAGCCACACAAUGAGAAAAUCUCAUUUGUGAAGAAUUGAGUAUCGUUAAAUGAUAAAGUAUGCAUAAUCAUGUUAGAUAUAUUUAUUAUGAAUUUUAGAAUGCUUAACAUGCCUAUGUAAUGUAUAGUAAAUUUUUGGACCUCUAUGUGAUAGAGUGCAUGUAUGUGAGAUAUAGCAUUCUAGUUGAGACUUGGAACCAUAAUUCCUAUUAUAAAAAUGAACAUUGCUUUCAUGCAUUUAACCUUUAUGCCCAAUUGUGACAUUAGGGACUUUGGAAGCCUAGAGAGGCUUGGGGACUUAGACUAUUUGAGAAAUUGGGCCAAUGUCAUAAAGAGGCGUUGGGCCCGGGCUAUAGUGAACAUUGGUAUUAAUGUCUUAAUUGGAAUAUAGCAUAUGAAUUGGGCUUGAUUAGUUGUGAUGCUUAAGUGUCAUAAAGAGGCACUAAGCCAGUGGGUGUUGGGUUAUAACAUUGUGACAGAAAGCUAGACCGUUGGGUUACUAGUAGCUAUUGUCAUGUUUGAGACAUGAGGGUUGGAUACUUGAGCCUUUGACUACGCUUGCUUGCCAUUUGUGCUCAUUCGCAUAUGCUUGUGAGGGUCGCUCCCUACUGUUUGAAGUGAAAAGAAAAAAAAAAAUUCUAAUCAUAAUCGAAACCGAUUAGAUUCAGACUCAAACAAUUUUGAUAGGUCUCAUGUUGACCAAAAAAUUUUGGGGCCAAUAAUUAUAAUUUAAAAUCCACAAUAGACCCAUUCAUAAAUGUGAAUUAAUGGGCCUCAUGAAAGCCCUUUAAAAUUUUAGGCCUAUACAAUAAUUCGGGCCUCAUCUUAGCCCAAUGAAUAAUUGUGCCCAACAAGUUUCAUCAAAGUGGGCCCAAUAUCAGCCCAAUUCAUAGGAUCACUGCCCACAUUUUCACCCACGUUUGAAAAUUCAAUUUCAAAUAUCAUAUUCAAAUUCGAUUUUAAAUUUUUAAACCCCAGAAAAUAUCUGUUAUCCUAAUAACCCUAUUCGAAAUUCGAUUUCGAACUUCGAACCACCUCCCAAAAUAUCUCUCAACCAACAUUCAUUCGAAUUUUGAAUACUUAUCCAUCCCACAACCCAUUCAAAAUUCAAUUUUGAAUUUCCAAUCCCCAACCAACAUCCAUUCGAAUUUUGAAUACCUAACCACCCAACAACCGAUUCAAAAUUCGAUUUCGAAUUUUGAAUCCCUAACUGACUCCCCAAAAUAUCCUUCAACCAUCCAACAACCCAUUCAAAAUUCGAUUUCGAAUUUCGAAUCCCUAACCGACUCACCAAAAUAUCCUUCAACUAUCCAACAACCCAUUCAAAAUUCAAUUUCGAAUUUCGAAUUUCCAAUCAAUUCCCAAAAUAUCCUCCAACAAUCCAUUCAAAAUUCGAUUUCGAAUUUCGAAUCCCUAACCAAUUCCCAAAAUAUCCUCCAACAACCCAUUCAAAAUUCGAUUUCGAAUUUCGAAUUCCCAACCAAUUCCCAAAUAUCCUCCAACAACCCAUUCAAAAUUCGAAUUUCGAAUUUUGAAUUCCAACCAAUUUCCAAAAUACCCUCCAACCAUCCAACAACCCAUUCAAAAUUCGAUUUCGAAUUUCGAAUUCCCAACAAAAUCCCAAAUAUCUUUCAACCAACCACAACAACCUAUUCAAAAUUCAAAUUCGAAUUUCGAAUCCCUCGAAAUAUCUCUCACCACCCCUCCCAUUAUAAAUACGAGAACCGAAAUCAAACUCGGAGAGGAUUUUUUACGGAGACGAUAGAUAAAAAAAAAGAGAUAGAUUGCUACACACAUUCCCACGUACAAAAUAUUCAAAGAAUAAGAGAUCGCCGAGCCGCGGAAAGGAGGAGAGAUCGUCGAGCCGCAGAAAGGAGGAGAGAUCACUCGAGCCGCUGAAAGGAUGAGAGAUCGCUGAGCCGCAGAAAGAAGGAGAAAUCGUUGAGCUGCUUCAUCCAAUCCAUCAUUUCAUCAACAGGUAAAAAAAAAAAGAAAGAGAAAGAAAAAUGAAGAAGAAAAAAAAGAAAACAUAAAAAGAAAAAAAAAAGAAAAAAAAAAGAUCUCUCUUCUUCUCCCCUCUAUUUUUUUCUUUUUUUUAGGUUCUGCGAUUGUAGCCAUCCAUACCAUCUAGAUGGCUUCGGUGGGAGAGUGGAGGGGAAUCUUCGAUUCUCCGUUUCUUCGGACCUCUCAAUACCCUAUCCGAAGUCGUUGAUGACGGAAUGGGUGAUCUACAUUGCCGCGACCAUCAUCAACAUAUUUGGUUUGAUACUUUCGAAAGAAGAGGGGAGGGGAAUCUUUGAUUCCCGGUUUCUUCGGACCCUUCAACAUUUCUUUUGAAAAUGUCAAAUCAAAUUUGCCGGCCGAACAGAUUCGCGCCACCGUCAUCAACUUCACCGAUGACAUCUACGACAUCGCCGGUUUGAUACUUUUGAAAGAAGAGGGGAGGGGGAUCUUUGAUUCUCCGUUUCUUCGGACCCUUCAAUAUUUCUUCGAAAAUGUCAAAUCAAAUCCGACGGCCAAACAAAUCUGCGCCACCGUCAUCAACUUCACCGACAACAUCUACGACAUCGCCGGUUUGAUACUUUCGAAAGAAGAGGGGAGGCGGAUCUUUGAUUUCCCAUUUCUUCGGACCCUUCAACAUUUCUUCGAAAUGUCAAAUCAAAUCCGAUGGCCGAACAGAUCCACGCCAUCGUCGUCAACUUCGUCGACGUCAUCUGCAGUAUCGCAAGAAGAGGGGAGGGAAAUCUUUGAUUCCCCGUUUCUUCGGACCCCAAAUCAAAAUUAAAACGGGGAUUUCUUCGAACCCCAAAUCAGAAUCGAAAGGGGAUUUCUUCAGACCCCAAAUCAAGAUUAAAACGGGAAUGUCUUCGGACCCCAAAUCAAGAUUAAACGGAGAUUUCUUCUGACCUCAAAUCAAAUCAAAUCCAAUUGGAGAAUCAAACGGGGAUUUCUUCGGACCCCAAAUCAAAUCCAAUUGGAGAAUCAAACGGAGAUUUCUUCGGACCCCAAAUCAAGAUUAAAUGGGGAUUUCUUCGGACCCCAAAUCAAAUCAAAUCUAAAUUUGAGAAUCAAACGGGGAUUUCUUCGGACCCCAAAUCAAAUCCAAUUGGAGAAUCAAACGGGGAUUUCUUCGGACCCCAAAUCAAAAUGAAAAAUCAAAUCCAAAUUAGAAAAUCAAAUGGGGAUUUCUUCGGACCCCGAACCAAAUUGGAAAAUCAAAUCUAAAUUGGAGAAUCAAACAGGAAUUUCUUCGGACCCCAAAUCAAAUUCAAUUGGAGAAUCAAACGGGCAUUUCUUCGGACCCCAAAUCAAAUUGGAAAAUCAAAUCCAAAUUGGAGAAUCAAACGGGGAUUUCUUCGGACUCCAAAUUAAAUCCAAUUGGAGAAUCAAACGGGGAUUUCUUCGGAUCCCAAAUCACAAAUCUAACGGGGAUAUCUUCAGACCCCAAAUCAAAUUGAAAAAUUAAAAUGGGGAUUUCUUCGGACCCCAAAUCCAAAUCAAGAUUAAACGGGGAUUUCUUCGGACCCAAAAUCAAACCCAAUUGGAGAAUCAAACGGGGAUUUCUUCGGACCCCAAAUCAAAUUGGAAAAUCAAAUCCAAAUUGGAGAAUCAAACGGGGAUUUCUUCGGACCCCAAAUCGAAUCCAAUUGGAGAAUCAAACGGGGAUUUCUUCGGACCCCAAAUUAAAUCCAAUUGGAGAAUCAAACGGGGAUUUCUUCGGAUCCCAAAUCAAAAAUCAAACGGGGAUAUCUUCGGACCCCAAAUCAAAUUGAAAAAUUAAAUGGGAAUUUCUUCGGACCUCAAAUCCAAAUCGAGAUCAAAAGAGGAUUUCUUCGGACCCCAAAUCAAACCAAAAUCAAAAAGGGAUUUCUUCGGAUCCAAAUCAAGAUGCAAAAACUAAAAGAGGAUUGCCUCGAACCCGAAAUAGAAUUGAAAAGAGAACCAAACCAAAUUCGAAUCAAGUCCACAUACAAACCAAAUCCGAAUCAAGUCCACAUACAAACCAAAUCCGAAUCAAGUCCACAUACAAACCAAAUCCAAAUCAAGUCCACAAAUAAAGCCCAAAACCAAAACCCAAAUAAAAUCCGAACCCAAAUCCAAACCAAAUCAAAUCCAAAUCCAAAACCAAACACAGUCCACAAACAAACCUAAACCCAAAACCCAAAUAAACCCAAACCCAAAACCCAAAUUAAAUCCGAACCCAAACCCAAAUCAAGUCCACAUCCAAACCUAACCCAAACCAAGUCCACAUAAAGAACCCAAACCCAUUCCACAAAUAAAAUCCAAACCCAACCCAAACCAAGUCUACAAAUAAAACCAAAAUCCAAACCGAAACCCAAACCAAACCAAAUCAAACCCAAACCCAACCCAAAUCAAGUCCACAAUCCAAAUCCAAACCCAAAACCCAAAUCCAACUUCCAACUUAGGCUCAUGAACGUAAACCAUACCUAAGUUCGUGAACCAAAUCCCAAAUCCUAUACCCAAGUUCAUGAAUCAAGAACCAAAACUCAUAAACCAAGUUCAUGAACCACGAACCAAAUCCAUGAACCUCACCUAAGUUCGUGAACCAAACACCACGGAUCAUAACCCAAGUUCAUGAAUCAAGGCCUAUGAACCAAAAUAAACCAAGUUCAUUAAACCAUAUCCAAUAUACCCAACUUUAUAAACCAUAAACCAAGUUCAUGAAUCAUGAAUCAAGUCCACAAACCAAGAUUCAUGAGCCAAGUUCAUAAACCUCACCCGUGAACCAUAUCCAAGUUCAUGAACCAUAUCCAAUAUACCCAACUUCAUAAACCAUAAACCAAGUUCAUGAAUCAUGAAUCAAGUCCAUAAAUCAAGAUUCAUACACCAAACCUCAUACACCAUAUCCAAGCUCAUGAACCCGAUCCACAUACUCAACCUCAUGAGUCAUGAACCAAAUCUCAUAGACCAUACAACCAUACACCAAGUUCAUGAACCAUAAACAUACACCAAGUUCAUGACUCAAAUCUCAUGAACCAAAUCCCAUACACCAAACCUCAUAAAUUAAACUCAUAACCAUACACCAAGUUCAUGACUCAAAUCUCAUGAACCAUGUACAAAGUUCAUGAACCAUAACCAAACCUCAUGAACCAUGUACCAAGUUUAUAAAUCAUAAACCAAACCUCAUGAACCAUGUACCAAGUUCAUGAAUCAUAAACCAAACCUCAUGAACCAUACACCAAGUUCAUGAAUCAUAAACCAAACCCCAUGAACCAUACACCAAGUUCAUGAAUCAUAAACCAAACCCCAUGAACCAUACACCAAGUUCAUGAAUCAUAAACCAAACCCCAUAAACCAUACACCAAAUUCAUGAACCAUGAACCAAAUCCAUAAACCAAGUCCAUAAACCUCAUGAACCAUAAACCAAGUUCAUGAAUCAUGAACCAUGAACCAAGUUCAUAAACCUCAUCCAUGAACCAUAUCCAAGUUCAUGAAUCAUACACCAUGAACCAUAAACCAUACACCAUAAACCAUAAACCAAGAUCAUAUAACCAACCUCAUGACCCAUACACCAAGUUCAUGAACCAUACCUUAUGAACCCAUGAACCAUACACCAAGUUUAUAAACCUUAUCCAUGAACCAUAUUCAAGUUCAUGAACCAAAUCCCUUACACCAAACCUCAUGAACCAUAAAUCACAACCCAAGCCCAUGGACCAAAUCCCAUGGACCAUAUACCCAACCUCAUGAACCAUGUCCAAAUCUUAUGAACCAAUACCCAAAUAUCAUGAACUAAUACCAAAAUCUCAUGCCCAAAGUUCAUCAUGAACUUUUUCUUUACUCUAGUACAUAUACCUAGAGUAAAAAUCGAAUAUCGACUACCCCUAAUACAUAUACUUAGGGCUAAGUCAAUCGCCUUAGUACAUAUACUAAGGCAAAACAUCUCCAAACCGACAGAGUUCUAAAUUAUGUCAAAUGAUAUCAAGUUUAUUCGAACUCUAACACAUAUACUUAGAGUUCAUCCGACUAACCCUAAUAUAUACCCUCAGGGUCUGGUCAACCUUUUGCUCUAGCACAUAUACCUAGAGUGGAAGUCAAACCAAGCUCAACUAGUCCUAACCCAUAUACUCAAGGUCUAGUUAGCCUUUUGCUCUAGCAUAUCUACCUAGAGCGAAAUUCAUACCUGAUCGAGCUCUAAUACAUAUACUUAGAGCUCAUAAAAUCAAAUCCGACGAAGCCUAACAUAACACCUCAGGGCUUAGUCAGAUCCUCACUUUAGCACAUAUAACUAGAGUGAAAAAUAUAUUAAACUCGGUUAAUCCUGAUAUAUAUACUCAGAAAUUAUCCACUCUUAGGUAAUAUCAAAUCCGACCUACAUCAAUACAUAUACUUGGGGUUUGGUCACUCUAAGACAUAUACUUAGAGCCAAUUAGACUCUAAUACAUGGAGUUUAAUAUCGACUACGUCUUAACACAUAUACUUAGGACCUAGUCAAUUCCAAAUUCAACUGAAUCCUAAUACAUAUACUUAGGAUUCAAUAAAUCAAGACACGAUUCAUCUCAUCCCAUCUAUAAAGGUCUCUUAAUCGAAGGUGCCCCAAUCAACAGGGGAUAAUUAACAAUAGAUGCUUGCAUCUAUUGGAAGCCAUGGACCUGCGAUACCUGAUACCCAUAUACAUAUAAAUAUCAAUCUGAAUCAUGAAUACUACCCCACGGCGAAAUCCAUCGACCGUGCGAGGUGCGUCAUUCGUGGUGGCUGACACCUACAAGCCGGCACUCCGGAGUUAGCCUACGCGACCUAUGUUUGCACGUGCGGUAUUGAGAAGCCUACGGGGUCGAGUGGGACAGACACAUUCCAAGAGCAGGAAUGUUGGGCUACCACAUGCACUUAGGCGGCACAAGCUGGACUACCUUGGGUAGGUCCUUAAUUGGAAAUGGAAUUCAACACGGCGUUGAGUGUGUUAUAAUCACUACUAGAUAGAGAGUAGUAGUUGGAUUACUUGGACUUGCUUCUAGCAUAGUUUUGGACACUUGAGUAUACAUACAUACAUAUAGUGUGCUAGGAGAUGUUGCUUAUUGCAUUCAUAUAUACAUUGUUGUCAUGAUAAAGUAUGAUCUUCAUAACUUCGUAGAGUAAACCGUGACUUUUACUUGUGGUCAUGUAGAGACAUAUUGUUUAUGACAAAGUAAAGGUGCAUCAUUUUAACACCAUGUUUGAUUGCAAUAUAGUAGCUUAGCAUUUUAGUUGUGCUUUCUUAAAUGCAAUUUAUUCAUUAUUAUUGCUCUCUUUUUUACUUACCCUUUCUUUGGGGCCUAGUGGUGCAUUGAGCUGAGGUCAGUAAUUGCCCACUGGAAACUAUAAAUUAUAGUUCUCACGCCUUCUGUUUUAUGUUUUCUUUCAGAGCCUUCCACGCCGGGAGAGGCUAGGGACCGUGGGAAGGGAGUUGCUUCGAGCUAGCUCUUCAGCGAGUGACGAGUAGUCACGCCCCAGGACCGGCAGAGGCCCUCCCGGUAGCGUGCCCAGACCCGCCAUAUGUCCACACAUAUAAGGCGUCUACAACAACAGCAAAAAAUAAAACCAAGAGUAAUAUACAUCUAGAGAUAUCAGAGCACAGAUAGAUCUAUAGUCUAUAACAAGAUAAAAGAAGUAUACUAAAACAAUAAGUAAGAGUAAAACAUAAAGUAAUACAAUAUCAUCUCCCAAAAUAGUACACAAGGGGUGGUCUCUAGUACACUGGUACAGCUCUCAACCUCUCCAAAAAUAAAAACAUCGAGAGGUAGACUACCUAUCCACUCGUCCAUCGCAGAAGAGCUAGCUCGAAGCAACGCCCUUUCCACGGUCCCUAGCCUCUCCCGGCAUAGAAGGCUCUAAAAGAAAACAUAAAGCAGAGGGCGUGAGAACUAUAAUUUAUAGUUCCCAGUGGGCAAUUACUGACCUCAGCUCAAUGCACCACUAGGCCCCAAAAGAAAAGGUAAGUCAACAAGGCAAUAGUAAUGAAAUAAUUGCAUUAUGAAAGCGUAAAUAAUUGCUAAGCUACUAUAUCACAAGAAAACAUGAUGUCGAAAGUGUGUACAUCUACUUUAUCCCAAUGAAGUAAGUCCAACAUGACUAAUAUGUCCAAACAUAACGAAUAGGUAGGCAACAUGAUCCACAAUGUCAAUGUAUGAUGAAUAUGCUCUAUCAUGGUAGCAAGUAUACUAUAAUGCAAUAGAUAAACUAUCGAGUAUAUCAUGUGUCUCAACAAUAUGCUAUAUGCAUGUCAUAGUAAUCCAACUACUAAUCCUAUCUAGUAGUGAUUAUCAUCUCUCGAUCAAAUGUCAUUAUUUCCAUCAUGUUCUAGGACCCACAUAUUGUAGUCCAGCUUGUGCCACCUAAGUGUCGGUGGUAGCUCCAGCAUCCCCACUCUAGGAAUGAGUCUGUCCCUCCCGACCCCGUAGAUUUCUCGAUACCGCACGAGCGAACAUAAGUCGCGUAGGCCAACUCUGGAGUGCCGGCUUGUAGGGAGCGACCCUCACAAGCAUGUGUAAAUGAGCACAAAUGGCAAGCAAGCGUAAUCAUCGUCUCAAGUACCCAAUCAUCAUGUCUCUAACAUGGUAAUAGUCACUAGCAUCUCAAAGAUCUAGCUCUAGGUCACAAUGUGAAGUUCCAAUCAUUCACUAGGUCUAGUGCCCUUUUAUGACACUUAGACAUUUCGAUGUACAAACAUAUUCCAAUUCUCUCAAUGGCCCUAUCCACUAGGUUCACACACAACCCGAGCUCAAUGCCGCUUUAUGACAUUAGCUCACAAUUCCACAUGUCAAUCUUGUCAUAUGCCUCUUUAUGGCUCACUAAGAACCUCUAUGUCUCAAAUAGGAAUAGCUCAAAAUGCAUGAAGGUGAAUGCUUAUUGCCACAAUGGGAAGUAUGAUUUCAAGUCCCAAUAGGAUGCCAAUCAUGUACAAACCCCACAAAGUAGCCCUCUACUAUAUGGGGGCCCAAAAUUUCUUAUACAUAAUAUAGGCAUGUUAAGCAUCCUAAAAUUCACAUUAAAUACAUUUAUCAUGGAAAUGCAUGCAUUUUUACUCUACAAGCAUAAAACAUGGGAUAUGAGAAUUUCUCAUAUGCUAGGCUAGGUCAAACCCACCGAACCGUCACAGUGUCCUUCGUUUCGCCGAAAGAAGUUGUCCACGAGUCUCAAAAUACUCUAAAAGUGAUCAAUGAAGGGAUACAUAAGCAUUACGAGCAACUCUAGGCUCAAACAUUAACAAUCACAAAAUAGGGCAAAAACUCACCUAGGGAGUAGAAAAUCAUUCUCAAGCUCCAAGAGAAGGCUAAAUCCCUUCCAAUCCAACCAAAUGGAAGGUUCUAAACUAAGUAAUCUAGCCUCAAAAGCCCUAGAUCAAAAAGCCCCAAAAUCAACUCUAAAAUCCCAUUCUAGGGUUCCAUCUACUAAAAAACUUCAAAUUAUGAAAUCUUGGAGAAAGAACAAGUUGCUUACCUCCAAGAAGCUUCAAUCUAGGUUCAAAACCCUCUAGGUUCCAAGAUCUUUCCUCAACAAUGCUCCAAAUCCAAGCUCCAAGCCACCAAAAGUAAGAAGAGAGGGUGUGGGUGAAGUUCCAAGCCUCCAACAAGCUCUCUCCUUCUUCUUCUUCCUCUCCUUCUUCUUCUUCUCUCUCUAGGAGCAAAGGGAAUGGUGGAAUGAGGGAGAAGAGAAGAAGAAGUAGCCAUAUAUGCCCUCUAGUGUAACAAAUCCAAAGAGGCCCCUCAAAAACCCAAUAUUGCAUCAGGCCGGUCUGGGCAAUUUUCGCCCAGAGGGACCGGUCUCUCCCCACCAGGGACCGGUCUCUCGUGUCGAACCCGAGAAACCAUCGUUCGGGAACCGGUCUCUCCCCGCGCGGGACCGGUCUCUUACUGCGAAGACGCGCUCGGGGACCGGUGUAACACACUGGACCUUUGCAAAUAGUGAGGUCGAGUGUUUGGUUUUUGUUCCGAGCUUUUCCACAUUUUGUGGGAAGUCGUUGACAGUGUUCCGACCUAUGGUUCGAGUCCCGAGAAUUGUGGUUAAAAACCUUGCACCAAAAUUCAAAAAGUCGGAUUUUUGGUUAGCUCUCGGGUAGCCCUCAGAGGGCUGUGUACCGGUACAUGCUUGAUGGCUGUACUGGUACAGGGUUGAUGGUUGUACCGGUACAGCCACCGGCUUGUACCGGUACAGGGCCGCUGAACCCUGCCAACCCGAGGCUCGGGUUGAGAUUUUCGCAAGGCUUGUACCGGUACAGGAACCCGUGUACCGGUACAAGGAGGCUGAUUUCAUGCAGUUUGUUCUGCAGGGGCUUAUUUGCGAUUGUGGGCUUCUUAUAACAGCACCCACGCCCCAUAGGUCUUCUCUUGAGCUUGGAACAGCAAGAGAGAAGGUAGGAGAGCCCUCCUCUCCAUCUCUUUCAUUUCCUUUGGUUUUGGUUUGCGCUUUUGGUGAUUAAACACCCUCUUUUGCUCUCUUUUGCUUCUUUGGAGGCUUCUUCACCAUUGGAGCUUGGACUUGAGGCUUGGUGAGGGUGGAUCCUUGAAGUUUGAGAACUUUGAACUUGGAUUGAAGCUUCUUAGAGGUUGGUAGCCCUUUCUUUCCCUUUAGAUUUUGGAUUUGAGGUUUUCUUUGAGAUGAAACCCUAGAUUGUAAACUUAGGGUUGUUUUUGGGUGUUUUUGAUUUAGGGCUUUUGAGGCUCAAUCUCUUGGAUUAGAACCUUCCCUUAGGUUGGUUUGGGAGGGUUCAAGCUCUCAUUUGGAGCUUGUGAGGAGAUUGUCGCUCUUGAGGUGAGUUUUGACCCUUUUGCUAGAUGGUUAAUGAUCGAGCUAUAGGCUCUUCGUUUCGUUUGGGUAACCCUACUUUUGAUGCUUCUAGGGUACUAGGAAGCUCAUGGAUCACUUCGUUCGGCGAAACAAAGAAGUCGAUUUUGGUGGGUUUGGCUUCGUGGAAAAGGAGCAAAAUGGCCCCUAUGUUCUCUAUACUUGUUGUAAAGUAUUUUUAAAUGCAUUUCAAUGCUAAUUGGAAUUUAUGUGAAUUUUAGAACACUUAAAAUGCAUGCCUUAUGUGUAAGUUAAAUUUCACUCUAUAUAGUAAGCAAUCAGGGUUAUUUUCAUGCAUGUGAGGAGUGUUCAUGUGGACGAAUGGGAUUCUCGUCUAGUAUGCUAAAUUAGCUCAUAUUCGUGUAUUGGAAACAUUAUACUAUGUUUGGACUUAGUAGCAUAAAGUGUCAUCAAGAGGAACUUGAACUAGUAAACUAUGAAACUGCAACAUAGAGACAUAAUAUUAGGCCAUUGUAUAUCUGCUAUAUAUUCCAUGUUAGAGACAUGAUGACAUAGAGAUAGGCUUUUGGGACAUUCGAUACAUUCCAUGUUAUUAGACAUGAGGACUUGGUACUUGUGACAGGACAUAUGACUACUUGCCAUUGUGCUCAUUCGCACAUGCUUGCCGGAGAUAGCCAUCGCAAUUCAUAUUCGCCGUGCGGGAUUGGGCGCCGAAGUAGAUUGCCGUGGGCCAGGCUCAUUCCUAGGGUGGGGAUGAUGACUACCACGGGGCCAUUAAGCUCGGCACCGGCCAGACAGCCUACGGGUGGGUCUCAGGGCCAUAGACAGCCUUCGGGUGGGUCUCUUUAGAUUUUGAUUUUGGGUACUUCACUAAGACAUGUGGACAGAUGAUGACUUUGUAUAUUGACGGGACAUUGGCUAGAAUAGUAAACAAUGACAUCUUUACUAUUUGCAUUGUGGACAUCGUGAGGGUUGCAUAUCUAUGCUUAUUCAUGUUAUACACAUCCAUGUACAUUCCUGUUAUAGUUGCUAUAUUACUUAUGCAAAUCAUGCUAAGUAGAGACAUUAUGCUAUAGCGAGUUACAUUUUACUUCUCUUUUGCCUUAUUAUAUUUUGUCACUGACCUCUUCCUGGUAGCUUUUGGGCCUCGUGGCGCAGUUCACUGAAGUCAGUAAUUGCCCACUGUGAACUAUUUUUAAUAGUUCUCACGCCCUCUUUUUCGUGGUUUCUUUCAGAGCCUUCUGCACCGGCUGAGGCACGGGAUCGCUAUAAGGGGAUCGCAUAGCUAGCUAGCGAGGAGCGGUUCUUUGCCUAGGUGGUUUACUCUUUCUUUUUGUAUUUGAGAGAGUAAGAGAUUUUUUAUCCAUGUAUAGAGACAACCUAUGUAUCUACUAUUAGCACUUGUAUUUGGGAUUUCCUUUGUAUUACUUUAUGCUUUUAUUAGUGGAUUCCAGCUUUAUGUUCCUUUCUCUAUUGUAGAACUUAGUAUUAUAUCAUACUCUGAUACCCUAGAUGUCUUUUAUUAUUGCUUUAAUUAUCGUUGUUUUAGACGCCUUAUAUGUUUUAGACGUAUGGCGGGUCUGGGCACAUGCCGGGCGGGCUUCCGCUGGGUCCCAGGGCGUGACAACCGGUCUUGCCCGCUAGGGACUGGUUGCCUCAGGGCUGCCACAACACUGCUCACUGGGGGACCGGUCUCUCCUAUCAGGGACCGGUCCCCGAGAGUAAAAACUCUCAGGACUCAUCCAGAACUCAAGUUUUCGGACUUUUUGGAUCGAAAAAUAUUCCACGACCUUCCACCAAGUGUGGAAAAGCUCGAAACACAACCAAUCACUCGAACCUCGCAAUUUGCACAGGUCCAGUGUUUUACAAUCACCCAUCCUAAAAGGAGUUUCGUCUGCGAAACUCAAAAGUAAAGUACCUCAAGCCUCCAUCUGAAAAAGAUGGGGAUAGUGCUCUCGCAGUGCGCUCUCCAACUCCCAAGUGGCCUCGCGCUCGUCGUGGUUGCUCAAAAGCACCUUCAGGUAGGGGAUCUCACGGUUCCGCAGCCUCUUUACUUCGCGAGCCAAAAUCCUAAAAGGUUGCUCUUCAAAGCUCAAAUCAUCCCUCAGCUCUAAAGGUGUCGCGUCCAAUACGUGAGCCGGAUCAUGGAUGUACUUCCGAAGGACCGAUACAUGAAAAACAUUGUGUACACCCGAUAGGUUCGGAGGUAACACAAGUCGAUACGCUACCGGGCCUACACGCUCCAAAACCUCAUACGGUCCGAUGUAUCGGGGGCUCAGCUUACCCCGAAUUUUAAAUCUUCUAAUUCCUCUGGUCGGCGAGACUUUCAAGAAGGCAUGGUCACCAACCUGGAACUCCAAGUCUCAUCGAUCUUUUGCCUACUCUGGGCUGUUAAUAGUCUCUCCCGAGCAAUGCGAACCUUGUCCUCUGCUUCCUGGAGCACAUCUGGGCCUAAAGCCAAUCUCUCGCCAACUUCGCACCAAUAAAGUGGCGAUCUACACUUCCGUCCAUAGAGUGCCUCGAAAGGUGCCAUCUUGAUGCUUGCUUGAUAAUUAUUGUUAUAAGCAAACUCUGCCAUCAGUAGAUGCUGCGACCAUCCUCCCUAGAAGUCAAUCACACAGGCUCGAAGCAUGUCCUUGAGAGUCUGUAUAGUACGCUCCGACUGCCCAUCACUCUGGGGGUGGAAAGUGGUGCUGAAAUCCAAGCGCGUACCUAAAGCAUCCUGUAAGCUCCUCCAAAAGUGGGAUACAAAAUGGGGAUCUCGAUCUGAUACUAUAGAAGUAGGUACCCCGUGCAAUCGCACGAUCUCAUCCAAAUAAACCUGUGCGAGUCUUUCACCAGUCCAAGUAGUGUGGAUAGGUAUGAAAUGGGCCGAUUUCGUCAGCCUAUCCACGAUCACCCAAAUAGCGUCAUGCCCGGCCUGUGAGCGAGGCAAUCCCAUCACGAAGUCCACGGUGAUCUUCUCCCACUUCCACACUGGAAUCGGUAGGCUCUGCAACUUUCCCGCAGGAACUCGGUGCUCAGCUUUCACCCGUUGGCAAGUUAAGCAUCUAGCAACAAACUCACCAACAUCCUUCUUCACCCGGGCCACUAGUAAAGCAACCUCAAUUCCUUGUACAUCUUGGUGUCUCCCGGAUGUAUAGCAUACGGUGCUCGGUGCGCUUCUUGAAGAAUAUCCUCUUUAUUGCCCAAGUCCGCCGGUAACACAAAGUCGUCCGCGGAAACGCAUCAAUCCAUCACUGUCUAAAGUGAAGUCACCGGUGCAACCAUCAACCAUCUUAGCUCGAAUCUUUUGCAACUCCACAUCGGAGACCUGCUUUUCUUUAAUUCUUUCCACAAGUAUAGGUUGCACCACCAAAGACAUCAGUCUCAAAGGUGUAUCAGGAGCCACCACCUCCAACUCCAACCGCUUCAUCUGCUCGAUCAACGGCGGUCGAGUAACCACGAGCAUCGCUAAGUUUUCCAUCGAUUUCCUGCUUAGCGCAUCCGCCACCACGUUAGCCUUACCCGGGUGGUAAAGUAUAGUCAAGUCAUAAUCCUUGAGUAGCUCCAGCCAUCUGCGCUGCCUCAAGUUCAACUCCUUCUGAGUGAAUAAAUACUUUAAACUCUUGUGUUCCGUAUAUACUUCGCAUCGCUCGCCGUACAGAUAAUCGCGCCAUAGCUUCAAUGCAAAGACCACGGCCGCCAAUUCCAAGUCAUGAGUAGGGUAGUUUCUUUCAUAGUCCUUCAACUGGCGAGAUGCAUACGCGAUCACUUUCCCGUCCUGCAUCAAGACACAACCCAAUCCAUUAAAGAAAGCAUCACUGUAAAUCACAUACCCUGCUCCAGCAGUUGGCAAGGUUAGGAUCGGGGCGGUCGUCAAUCUCUGCUUCAACUCUUGGAAGCUCCAUUCACACACAUCAUUCCAAAUGAACUUGGUGCCCUUAUGCGUGAGCCUCGUGAUGGGAAUAGAUAACCUCGCAAAUCUCUCAACAAACCGUCGAUAGUAGCCGGCCAAACCAAGAAAGCUCCGAAUCUCUGUGACACUCGUCGGCCUUGCCCAAUCCUUGAUAGCUUCAAUUUUCCUAGCAUCCACGGCUAUACCUGAUCCGAAAAUCAAAUGGCCCAGAAACGCCACCUCUCUAAGCCAAAACUCACACUUCUUCAAUUUGGCGUAGAGCUUCUUUUCCCGAAGCACUUGAAGUACAAGUCUCAAGUGUUCCUCGUGAUCCGCAUCACUUCGGGAAUAGACCAAAAUGUCGUCGGUGAACACCACGACAAACCUAUCUAGAUAAGGUUUGAAAACACGGUUCAUUAAAUCCAUAAAAGUUGCCGGGGCAUUAGUAAGCCCAAACGGCAUAACGGUAAACUCAUAUUGUCCGUACCGUGUUCUAAAAGCCGUUUUCGACACAUCCUCAGGCUUGAUCUUCAAUUGGUGGUAUCCCGACUGCAAGUCGAUCUUGGAAUACACACUCGAUCCCUGGAGCUGAUCAAACAAAUCAUCAAUCCUCGGUAAAGGAUACUUGUUCUUGAUCGUGACUUUGUUGAGUUCACGAUAAUCAACGCACAAGCGAAGCGAUCCAUUCUUCUUCUUGACAAAUAGGACCGGUGCUCCCCAAGGUGACACACUCGGUCGCACAAAACCCUUGUCCAGAAGGUCUUGCAACUGUGCCUUUAGCUCCUUCAACUCCGGCGGUGCCAUCCUAUAGGGCGCCUUUGAGAUUGGGGUAGUCCCGGGAACGAGAUCUACUACAAACUCAAUCUCCCUAUCAGGUGGCAUGCCUGGAAGCUCUGCUGGAAACAUAUCUCCAAACUCCCGCACGACGGGAAUAUCCUCAAUCCUGGGGGCAUCAUCGUCACCCCUCAACACAAUCGUAGCCAAGUAGGCCACACAGCCUCUACUAAUCAACUGUCUAGCUCGAGAGGAGCUAAUCGUCAUCGCAAACAACGAACUCUGGCAUCCUCAAUACACAACCUCCGCCUGCCCCGGCUCUCUAAACGUCACAGUUCGGUUCUUACAAUCAAUAGUGGCGUAGUACUUGGUCAACCAAUCAUGCCCAAAACUACAUCAAACUCUCCAAGUUUAUGCAAAGCUAGCAAGUCCACGGGCAUGAUCUAAUCUCCAAUCCGGACCGGGCAACUGGGGCAAAACUCUCGAAUGUCUAAAGUGUGAUCGGGUACCACGACUCGUCCCGGAUGCAACAAGAAUACAAGUGGGAUGCCAUGCAACUCGGCAAACAGCCGGUCUAUGAAUGAAUGCGAUGCACCGGUAUCAAAUAAUGCUCUAACUCAAAUACCAUAAAGUAAAAUGAUACCUGAGACCACAUUCUCGGCUGCCGCCGCCUCCUCAGUCUGGGACGCGUACAUGCGCCCACUCGGGGCCUGUCGUGACCCCUCUGCCUGCCGCUGCACUGGCGGCCGUCCAGUCUGGUGAUGCACAGAAGGUGUCCCCUUGCUGGGACCCGAUAAAGUUGGUGCAGAUGCCGAAGAUGGCGCUGGGGCUGGACCUCUCGGGCAGUCUGACUGGAAGUGGCCCUCCUGGCCACACAGGUAGCACCUGCCCCGACUGCGUGAACACUACUGUGAAAAAUGGGGACCACCACAGAUCACGCAGCGCGGAGCCUGGCGUCGAUCAGAUCCUCCUCGCUGAGUAGACUGGCCACGUCCUCGCGACUGGGACCGGUGUCGAGGAUGUCUCGGCGGCCUCCCUGAGUGCGCCUGACUCGCACCCUCAGCCGCAGGCCUUUUGCCUUUACCCUUAUCCAAGGCCUCUCGCCGCUGCUGCAGAUCCGCUGCUUCACUCUCCACGAUGAGUGCGCGGUUCACAACCUCCCGGUAGUUCUGGAGGUUGGAAGACUGAACAAAUCAGAAGAUCGAAGGCCGCAAUCCCCGCUCAAAGAUGCGGGCCUUGUCCUCGUCGUCCCGAACAACGAAGGGCACGCAAUGAAGAAGCCGGGAGAACUCUCUCUCGUACUCAGCCACCGUCCAGUCCCCCUGGCGCAGGUUGCGCAGAUCCUGCUCCAUCUUUCUCUUAACACUGUUAGGGAAGUAAUGCUCCAGUAGGAGUUCCUUGAACCUUCUCUAAGUAAUCGCCGUCAGAUCCGUGCUGGGGUUGUCCUGGAUGUCCAACCACCAUCUGUAGGCCUCGCCGUCCAAAUGAUGUGUGGCGAGCCACACUCUAUCCCUCUCUUCGACGAAGGUAUUCCGAAAUAGCUUCUCCAUGUGUAUAAGCCAUUUCUCUACAAUCCAGCGGUCCACGUUCUCCCCGUCAAAUGUCCGGGGGUUGCAUCUCCUGAACUCACCAAGGCGCUCCAUGAGCCGAUCCCGCUCGGCUCCCUCAACCAUCACGGGGAAAACCGCCCCAGCUACAGAUGCUCCCGCUGGCGGUGCCGCAAUAUCCUCUCCCCGAGGUGCCGCCGCUGGUGCCGUCCUAGAAGCGUCGAGUGCAGGGGACGACACCCUCGGCGCAACCACCUCCACUGGUGCGGGUGGUGUAGGGAUCUGAGUCUCCCUGGCCGCCGUCUGCUGCAGCAGAAGGUCCUCCAAGCUCUUCAUCCGCACCUCCUGUCGAAGCGCCGUUUCCGCCUAUUGCGUCACCAAAUCAAUGAGGGUUGCCAACGGGCCCCUCAACUCACGGACCUCGCCGGAUCCGAAGGAGCGAAGGUCUCAGCCUCCUCAAACUGUGCCGCAUUGUCCGCUCCCGCAGAUUGAGAGCGCGUAAUCGGCAUAGUCACUACAAAACAUAAAAGCGUAAGUUAGUAACCCGCGCUAUCGGAUCCCCGCUCAAACAACAAUACCCAAAUUAUGCGAAAGUAAGGAAGUGUUGUCCGCAACUAACUCCCGAUGUUACGUUGUCGGCCGCCAACAUAGCCCUCCGCGAAGUUAGAAGCCAUACACUCCGAUUAAAUUCUAACUUUUUAGAGUUAUCAUAAAACCCAAUCAUAAUACUUCCGCUCACAAGUCGAAUAGACCCCGUCUCUCACGAGCCUAUAUCCUAUAGUCCAACCGGCCUAAGGUUUACUAGGUCCUCUAAGACUCAACCCUAGGCUCUAAUACUGUAAUAUACAGAGAAUUCGGAAAAUAAAUAUCGAACUUUAGUCAAAUUGACCAAAGUGCGAGGUUGGAACACUUCGGAAAGUCCGAAGGUGUUAAAAUGAUCAAAAGUGAGUUACGGGAGGUUUUCGAGACCUAAAAUUGUGAAAUCUGCUUUCUGCAGGUUUUCAACUCUCGGGGACCGAUCCCUGAAGGAGAGACCGGUCCCCGAACGGGUGAAAAAUGAGAAAUGGAAAAAAUGGCUAAGUCCUGAGAAACCAGCUCUCGGGAACCAGUCCCUGUCUGAGAGACCGGUCCCCGAGAGACCAGUCCCCCCCAAAGAGAGACCGGUUGCUCUGCGCGUGCGCCCUGCUGCUCGCGGGGAGAGCCUUCGGGAACCGGUCCCUGAAGGAGAGACCGGUCCCCGCCUGCGCGAACAGCCCAGUCCAGGCUGUGUGAAAGAGUAAAAGUUGAGGGGCUUGGCUGCAAUUUUGCAACCCAAUGGCUAUGUUAUGGGGGCUAAUGAGAUUUUCUCUCAUUUCCUCACCCUCUCACACUCUCUUCUCUCCCUCUCUCUCUCUAGAAGACAAAGGAGAAGAAGAAGACAAAGGAAAGGAAGGAAAAGAAGAAGAAGAAAGUGAAGAAGAAGCCAUUGGAGUGGAGCAACUCCAUUUUCUUUCCCUCUAGUGCAAGAAAGGAGCAAGCUUAGAGGUAAGCUUUGCCCCUUUUCAUGCUAACUCCCAAACUAGGGUUUGGAUAAACCUAAAAAUAGUUUUUAUGGAACCAUUUGAGUAUUUGAAGCUUUUCUUUUGCUUCUUUAGAGAUCAAGACCAUGAAAAUGGUGAAGCUUGAGGUGAGCUUCAUCACCUCUCAUGGUGAAACCUUAAGUAGGGUUUUGAUUUGCCUAAAGAUGGUUCUAAUGGACUUUUUAGAGUAUAAUGAAGCUACUUUUGCCUCCCAUUGAGAUCAAACCCUAGGUUUGAUGAUGCUAUGGAGCUAGGGCACCCAAAUUAGGGCUUUUGCUCAUAGGGAUUUCUAAGUGUAAUUGACCCUCUAGAAACUUAAUUGGGGGUAUUUCCAACGCGUUGGUGCGCUCGGAUUAACGUUACGAAAAUGCGAUGUAAAGAUAUGGACAAAAUGGCCUAAAAUGGCUUUGUUAUGCCGCAGGUAAAGAACGAAUGACCUAAAAAUCCCAAGUAAAUUAUUGGAGCACCUUUGAAAGCCUACGAGGUGGGUGGUGCUUCUCAAACUUAUUAAACUUCUCUCUAUGCCUAAUGUGUCAUUCAAUUGAGCAUGUGUAUAUAUAUUGUUGCAUGCAUUUUAGGGUAAAGUGAAGAUGAAAAUGUGAUGAUGCAUGAUUGUGAGUACAACUUGCAUAAUAUGAUGAAUGAGAACUAUGUGAANUCGAUUGGUGGAUUCCCAUCGAUCGAGGACCGGCGAAGAUCACCAUCAACAAGAAAUCGGUAAAUUGAGUCGAGUAUUUUUGUCAAAAUCACUUGUACUCAAGUUUUCUUAGUGGAUUUUCUUCGCGUGAUCGGUCCCGUGGGUUUUUCACUCCGAAUUGGAGUUUUCCCACGUUAAAUUCUCGAUGUGCUGUUUUAUUUUCCGCUACUUUAUUUUAUUUGCAUCGAGAUUUUCGAGUUUGCCGUUUUUACACCUAUUCACCCCCCUCUAGGUGUUACUUACCUUUUAGAUCCUCGGAAUCCAUAUCUUACAAUGUGAACGUCAAAAACCCUAUGUGUAUGCAUGAGAGAAAAGUGAGCACCCAAAGUGAGCAAAAGAACAGAGUGACACAAUGACAUAGAUCGAGUGGCAUUCGAUAAAGUUAAAGUGAAAUGACACUAGAGAUAGUGUGAGGUAAAGAACCAAUGUAAUGUAAAGAAUGACGAAAAUGACAAUGUUUAAAGUUAAAGUAAUGUGGGGAGUAAAGAACAUGAAGUGCUAGAUGUAGCCAAAAGUAAAGAAUGCAAAGAAUAUGAUUGCCAGAGUUAGCAAGAGUAAAGAAAUGAAAAGAAUAAGAAAUGCUAGAGUUAGCAAAAGUAAAGAAUUGUAAAGAAUGUGUUUACAUGAGUUUACAACAAAAAGUGAUGUAAAGAACACUAGAGUUAGUGUAAAGUCAAGAUUGAACAUACAAUCCUUUGAGUUAAGGAUUCGAUCAUACUUGCUAUGAGUUCCGUGCUCGAUGGCGGUCGCUCCCCCUCGGGCGAUGCGCUCCGGAGUUAUGCAUCACGGGUUGGAGUAAACCCAAAGGACGGUCCUAGCAGGUGAGUUCCUGUGAUGAUGGACUUAAUGUGAAGCAAGUCAAUGUGGCGAUACCCCUGGGUUAGCCUUGAGAUUAAAGAGCAAAGAGCAAAGAACAAAGUGCAAAGAACAAAGAACAAAGAACAAAGAACAAAGAGUAAAGUGAAAAGAACAAAGAAUUUGCAUAAUCUGCAUUUAUUUAAUGUUGAGCAUAUUUCUGCUUAUUGUUCAGGCAUAUUAGCAUCAUGUAUAGUUUGGUUACUGUUUACAGCCUAUUCUUUCUAUUAUGUCUGAGUUAGUCCUAGUGGGAAAGUUGGUGAGAUUGAGGCCGAACCCACUGAGAACUUUGUUGUAGUUCUCACCCCACUAUUCCACAGAGCCGGGACCCAGCGAGCCGGCGAGCGACCGCGGUAAAGGUAUCGCACCUUAGUUAGAGGCCACCAGAGUUGGUUUACAUUUUGCUAGUAGAGUUUCCCUAUGUUCAUCUUUUGUACUUGAUGAGAAAUAAUGUAAAGAAAGAAUGUAAAGCACCCUUUUGAGGUAAAUGUGAUGUAAGAAAGAAAUGAUGAAAUGAUGCAAUGAAAUGUAAGGAAUUGUAAAUGUACAAGUUGGAUGCAAUGUAUAUGAUCUAAAUUGAAUCAUAGUACAAAAUGAAUGCUAGUUUCCUAUCUUUCACUCGUGGCUAUUGCUUACCCUCGUGUAAGUCAUUUGUGUAUGUUUCCGCUAGUGCUUUUCUCUAUACAUGAAAAUGUACAUGUGAUGAGCCUUGGGCGGAUAGGGGAAACUCUGUUCGUUCGGCGUCUGUUUGACGUGCUCGGGUCGGGCCAAAUUGGUAUCGGUCUUGGGGCGUGACAGAUAUCGUGGUAUCAGAGCCAAGAGUAAAAAAAAAGGAAUGGAUCUAGAGACCCUUAGGAUUGGAAGGCCUUAAGGAUCUAGGGAACGUGAGUGACGUGGGAUCAAAAUUAGCGAAAGCAUAUGAUUGGGUUAACUUGGGACAUCUCUAAUGUGAUUAGAGGCUAAGUUUAAAUUUCGUUUAUCCUCCACCUCUAGUGUUGUGUCGGGCGGCCGACGACAUGACGCUUGAGGCAAGGAUGAAUGUGCAUGUUGCUUUCGCCGAAUUGGGUAUGGUCAAGUAAUGUUGGUCAAGUGACUAAUUUGAGUUGCUUCUUUUCAGGAAGCAAUGGCACCUCGACGUCGAUCGCAAACAAGGUCGAUGUCAGAGGAGCUGAGUGCGGAGCCCGAGCGAUCCGGAGCGAGUGGCGACGGAGAGCUUAGGGAGCAAAUGGCCGCGCUUAUUGGCGUAGUGUGGCAACAAGCGGAGUCUGUCCAACGCCAAGGGAAGCAGAUUCAACGGCUCGAGGAGGCCUUGGAGCGUCAGCAGGCGGCGGCCCAAGUGGGCGUGGAGCCACCUGUGCCCCCUGCGGAGGUGCCGAGGGCAGUCGAGGGAGCGGCAGCAGUAGCGGCUGCGCCAGUCACGCUAGUACCGGCCGGAUCGGGAACCUCAAACCCCGAUAGUGCGACGGUAGAGGCGGAGCGAGAGCGCACGUUGGCGGCUCUCAUUCAGUUCAAGAAGUUCGACCCACCUAUCUUCGAGGGUGGAUUGGUGGAGCCAGCGGUCGUUGAGUCGUGGAUCGACUCAAUGGAGACGCUCUUCGAGGACCUAAAUAUCUCGGAGAAAGACAAAGUGUACCUCGCUACCCAUUGUCUAGGGAAGGCGGCGAUGGUGUGGUGGAAGCGAGUAAGGCGGGAUCGACCUACCGAUCUUCCGCUUAUGCUAUAGGAGGAGUUCAAGAGAGCGGUAUUCGCGAACUACUUCCCCGACACGGUAAAGCGAAAGCUACAAGAAAAGUUCCGCAAGUUGAGACAGGGCAAUCGGUCGGUGGGAGAAUACGAGCAAGAGUUCUCCCACAUCAUAGACUGUGUUCCCGAUGUUGUUCGUGAUGAUCGGGAUCGGGCUGAUUGGUUCUUGNNNNNNNNNNNNNNNNNNNNNNNNNNNNNNNNNNNNNNNNNNNNNNNNNNNNNNNNNNNNGGCCAUAUAAGCCUUCCUUGGUAACAAAAUCCUGUGAGGACCGCCUCAAAAAUCCAAUAUGCAUCAGCGCCGUCUGCAGUUUUCGCCACGAGGGACGCGUCUCCUCCUAGCCAGGGACCGUCCUCGCUAGCGAACCCAUGACAACAACGUUUCGGGAACCGGUCCUCACUGCGCGGGACGUCCUCUCUCCUACUACGAAGCGCGUCGCUCCCCGGACCGGUCUUCGCCCGCAGGGACCGAGUUGCUCAAGGCUUGCCACAGUUAAUCUGCUCACUGGGAUCCGUUCUUCCUUCCAGGUGACCGUCCCGAGAGUAUAAACUCUCAGGAUUGUCCAGAAUCCAGUUUCAGAACUUUUUUAGUCUAAAAAAUUCUACAACCCUCCACCAAGUGUGGAAAAGCUCGGAAAUAUCAUCCAAACACCGUCCGAACUCCUCGCAAAUGCAAAGGCCAUGUGCUACACAUUCAGUGUCACAACGAGUUGUUUGCAAUUCCAGUGCAAUAGGCCGAUUGAUUAUGCCGAUUGAAUCUGGCUAUCGCUAAUUCAGAUUGGGAUUCGAUUUUAUCGUUUGGGACCGAACUGGCUCUCCAAGUAACUAUGCGGUAUAGAUUGUGAAAGCAAAUGUGAUCAUUUUCGUAGACCUAAUCAAAAAGUUAGUCUACAAGCGUGCAAAAGUAAUCCGCUUCGCGUCGACCAUAUCGUCUGUAAGGGGCGAAGAGAAUGAUCAAAGAGGGCUGUACAGGCCUAUGGCAACCAUGGUGGAUCUCGAAAGAUUACCCCAGAGUUGGGCGGAUAUCGAGUAGUUGUGAGUACCCGGAUGUAUUUCCCGGCGAGUUACGGACUGCCACGAUCGGGAAUGUUUAGUUUUGUCAUUGACUUAUUCCCGGGCGGAACCAGUUUCGAAGGCUCCGUAUAGAAUGGCACCGGUGGAGCUAAAGGAGUUGAAAGGCCAACUACAGGACUUGCUCGAUAAAGGCUUCGUGAGGCCGAGCGUGUCACCAUGGGGAGCUCCGGUGCUAUUUGUGAAGAAAAAGGAUGGUACACUUCGACUAUGCGUAGAUUAUCGCGAGUUGAACAAAGUGACGAUAAAGAACAAGUACCCGUUGCCAAGGAUUGACGAUUUAUUCGAUCAGUUGCAAGGGUUCAAGGUGUAUUCGAAGAUUGAUCUCCAAUCGGGUAUCAUCAAUUAAAGAUCAGGCCGAAGGAUGUGCACAAAACGGCGUACCGUACGCGGUAUGGCCAUUAUAAGUUCACGGUAAUGCCGUUUGGGCUUACUAACGCCCCGGCAGUAUUUAUGGACUUGAUGAAUCGAGUAUUCAGGCCAUUGUUGGAUCGACGCGUCGUGGUAUUUAUAGACGACGUAUUGGUUUACUCGAAAAGUGAAGAGGAGCAUGAAGAGCAUCUGAGAGCGGUGAUGCAAAUACUCAGACAGGAGAAGCUCUAUGCAAAGUUGAAGAAGUGUGACUUUUGGCUAAAGGAGGUCACAUUCUUGGGCCAUGUGGUAUCGGGCGACGGAGUGUCAGUAGACCCGAAGAAAGUAGAGGCAAUAAAGGAUUGGCCUCGCCCGACGAAUGUAGUGGAGGUCCGCAGUUUUCUUGGACUUGCGGGCUACUACCGGCGGUUCGUGGAGGGGUUCGCCAAAAUAACCACUCCACUGACACGCCUCACGCAUAAAGGAGUAAGAUAUGUGUGGAGCGACGAUUGCGAUCGAAGCUUCGAGGAGUUAAAGAAUAGAUUGACGUCGACCCCGGUGCUUGCCUUGCCGACUCCAGGGGAGACUUUUGUAGUGUAUAGUGAUGCCUCUUAUGUUGGUCUCGGGUGUGUACUAAUGCAAAAUGGGCGAGUCAUUGCAUAUGCAUCGCGCCAAUUAAAGAGUUAUGAAAAGAACUACCCGAUUCAUGACCUCGAGUUAGCCGCAGUGAUCUUCGCGCUAAAGCUUUGGAGGCAUUACUUAUAUGGUGAACAUUGUGAAGUGUACACAGAUCACAAGAGUCUCAAGUACUUGUUCACCCAGAAGGAGUUGAAUAUGCGUCAGCGGCGGUGGUUGGAAUUAUUGAAGGACUACGAUGUCACUAUACUAUACCACCCCGGGAAAGCCAAUGUUGUGGCCGAUGCUCUAAGUAGAAAAUCGCCGGAGAACUUAGCGACGGCGAUUACGCCUCAACCGCUGUUACAAAAGGAAAUGCAAAGAUUUGGGUUGGAAGUGGUAGCACCGGGAGUGCCGGCUACACUUGCCGCAUUAGUUAUGCAACCGACCCUAUUGGAAAGAAUCAAGGAUCUCCAAGCUUCGGAUCCUUAUCUUCAAAAGGUGCGGAGUGAAGUUGAGAACGGCAAUGCCGAAGAUUUUGGCAUUGGAGCUAACGGCGCACUUCGAUUUCGAAAUCGUUGGUGCGUGCCCAAGGAUGAUGAGUUACGAAGGGCGAUUAUGCAAGAAGCGCACCAAUCCCCUUAUAGCAUACACCCCGGCGGCACUAAAAUGUACAAAGACUUGAAAGACCAUUAUUGGUGGCCGGAUAUGAAAAGAGAUAUUAGGGAGUUCGUGGCGCAAUGUUUAACGUGCCAACAAGUUAAAGCAUAGCGCCGAUUUCCGACGGGAAAGCUACAAAGUCUACCAAUAUCCGUGUGGAAAUGGGAAGACAUAGCAAUAGACUUUGUUACCGGUUUGCCUCGAUCACAAGGCAGACACGAUGCGAUAUGGGUGAUAGUGGAUCGAUUGACAAAGUCGGCACACUUCUUGCCGAUACAUACUACGUGGUCGGGAGACAAGUUAGCUCAAGUCUACCUCGACGAGGUUGUGAGACUUCAUGGGGUUCCAGUGUCGAUCGUAUCGGAUCGCGACCCGAGGUUUACGUCUCAUUUCUGGAAGAGCUUGCAAGACGCGCUAGGCACGCAGCUCGAUUUUAGCAUAGCAUUUCAUCCUCAGAGUGAUGGACAGUCAGUGUAACAUUCCAGAUUUUGGUAUAAAAAUAAAAAUAAAUAAAAAUAGUAUGAGAAACUAUUUUUAUUGGAUUUGUAGAAGUAAAAUAUAAGUCAGAAGUGACUUGUGCUGAAAUCGAAAUGAAAACAGAAGAUUUAGAAUUUUCUGUUGAAAACGGGACAGAUAAAUUAGCAGAAAAUGCACAGUCUCAGAAAAUUAUGAAAAUUGGAGGAUAAGUCAGAAAUAUUUUUAUGAAGCUAGAUUUAAAGUUUCAUAUUUUUCUGACACCCGUAGAGUGAGAAAUAAAAUUCGAGAGUUAUCUGAUAAAGAUUAUAGUUCGGCACAGUUUUCGGUGACCAAAUGGGGUCGAAACUGAAAACUUAAAAUAUAUUCUUACUCAGUACGUUAAACUGAGCCUGCCUGUNNNNNNNNNNNNNNNNNNNNNNNNNNNNNNNNNNNNNNNNNNNNNNNNNNNNNNNNNNNNNNNNNNNNNNNNNNNNNNNNNNNNNNNNNNNNNNNNNNNNNNNNNNNNNNNNNNNNNNNNNNNNNNNNNNNNNNNNNNNNNNNNNNNNNNNNNNNNNNNNNNNNNNNNNNNNNNNNNNNNNNNNNNNNNNNNNNNNNNNNNNNNNNNNNNNNNNNNNNNNNNNNNNNNNNNNNNNNNNNNNNNNNNNNNNNNNNNNNNNNNNNNNNNNNNNNNNNNNNNNNNNNNNNNNNNNNNNNNNNNNNNNNNNNNNNNNNNNNNNNNNNNNNNNNNNNNNNNNNNNNNNNNNNNNNNNNNNNNNNNNNNNNNNNNNNNNNNNNNNNNNNNNNNNNNNNNNNNNNNNNNNNNNNNNNNNNNNNNNNNNNNNNNNNNNNNNNNNNNNNNNNNNNNNNNNNNNNNNNNNNNNNNNNNNNNNNNNNNNNNNNNNNNNNNNNNNNNNNNNNNNNNNNNNNNNNNNNNNNNNNNNNNNNNNNNNNNNNNNNNNNNNNNNNNNNNNNNNNNNNNNNNNNNNNNNNNNNNNNNNNNNNNNNNNNNNNNNNNNNNNNNNNNNNNNNNNNNNNNNNNNNNNNNNNNNNNNNNNNNNNNNNNNNNNNNNNNNNNNNNNNNNNNNNNNNNNNNNNNNNNNNNNNNNNNNNNNNNNNNNNNNNNNNNNNNNNNNNNNNNNNNNNNNNNNNNNNNNNNNNNNNNNNNNNNNNNNNNNNNNNNNNNNNNNNNNNNNNNNNNNNNNNNNNNNNNNNNNNNNNNNNNNNNNNNNNNNNNNNNNNNNNNNNNNNNNNNNNNNNNNNNNNNNNNNNNNNNNNNNNNNNNNNNNNNNNNNNNNNNNNNNNNNNNNNNNNNNNNNNNNNNNNNNNNNNNNNNNNNNNNNNNNNNNNNNNNNNNNNNNNNNNNNNNNNNNNNNNNNNNNNNNNNNNNNNNNNNNNNNNNNNNNNNNNNNNNNNNNNNNNNNNNNNNNNNNNNNNNNNNNNNNNNNNNNNNNNNNNNNNNNNNNNNNNNNNNNNNNNNNNNNNNNNNNNNNNNNNNNNNNNNNNNNNNNNNNNNNNNNNNNNNNNNNNNNNNNNNNNNNNNNNNNNNNNNNNNNNNNNNNNNNNNNNNNNNNNNNNNNNNNNNNNNNNNNNNNNNNNNNNNNNNNNNNNNNNNNNNNNNNNNNNNNNNNNNNNNNNNNNNNNNNNNNNNNNNNNNNNNNNNNNNNNNNNNNNNNNNNNNNNNNNNNNNNNNNNNNNNNNNNNNNNNNNNNNNNNNNNNNNNNNNNNNNNNNNNNNNNNNNNNNNNNNNNNNNNNNNNNNNNNNNNNNNNNNNNNNNNNNNNNNNNNNNNNNNNNNNNNNNNNNNNNNNNNNNNNNNNNNNNNNNNNNNNNNNNNNNNNNNNNNNNNNNNNNNNNNNNNNNNNNNNNNNNNNNNNNNNNNNNNNNNNNNNNNNNNNNNNNNNNNNNNNNNNNNNNNNNNNNNNNNNNNNNNNNNNNNNNNNNNNNNNNNNNNNNNNNNNNNNNNNNNNNNNNNNNNNNNNNNNNNNNNNNNNNNNNNNNNNNNNNNNNNNNNNNNNNNNNNNNNNNNNNNNNNNNNNNNNNNNNNNNNNNNNNNNNNNNNNNNNNNNNNNNNNNNNNNNNNNNNNNNNNNNNNNNNNNNNNNNNNNNNNNNNNNNNNNNNNNNNNNNNNNNNNNNNNNNNNNNNNNNNNNNNNNNNNNNNNNNNNNNNNNNNNNNNNNNNNNNNNNNNNNNNNNNNNNNNNNNNNNNNNNNNNNNNNNNNNNNNNNNNNNNNNNNNAAAUUAGCAGAAAAUGCACAGUCUCAGAAAAUUAUGAAAAUUGGAGGAUAAGUCAGAAAUAUUUUUAUGAAGCUAGAUUUAAAGUUUCAUAUUUUUCUGACACCCGUAGAGUGAGAAAUAAAAUUCGAGAGUUAUCUGAUAAAGAUUAUAGUUCGGCACAGUUUUCGGUGACCAAAUGGGGUCGAAACUGAAAACUUAAAAUAUAUUCUUACUCAGUACGUUAAACUGAGCCUGCCUGUUAAAUUUGAGCUCAAACGGACAUUCAGAAGGGCUCCAACUGUUUCGAACAGCAAAAACUGCCCGGGAUGAAUAGUGUUUUGGUGUUGACUUGAGAGGAAUGUUGACCUCUUCUUCUUCCUCCCUCAACCAGCCAACACACACACACACACGACACACACACCCGCAUGGAGAGGGAGAGAGAAGCUCUCCUUUCUCUCUCUAAAGAUCUUUCUCAUCUCUCUAUAUCUCUUGCUCAAAUUCGCGGCGUUGGCGGAGGAGAUGCUCGCGAACGCGUUGGGAGCGACGGAUCGAGCUUUCGUGCACCCGUUGGAGUAGUGUGUUUUCGUUGCGGCGUUCACAAUGUGGUAACGAAAUGCGUUGGCGAAGACGGUUCGGCAAUCCGUCGAGCCGUUAGAAAGUUAUUAAAGAAAUGGACGUUUAGGCUUCGGGUCCGCCGGGAGGGCCAAGGCGACGUCGUAAAAUCGUGGAAAUGGAUUUGAGGCAUCGUGGCACAUAACCGAAGACCUAUAAUUUUCGGGGCUGCGAAGCGAAGCACGGUUGAGGCGCAGUUACAGUAUCGGGCCGUGCCAGAUACGGGUGCCGUGGGCGGCCGAUUGCAAGUGUCGACAAGCAAUCGGAAUGCGAAAUGAGGUGGGUUGUGCUUACCGAAGCGACUAGGUCGCCCUUCAUGUC